rnacentral:lncRNA from 1 species
AAAAGUCUCAUGAUGAAAGACUGUAAAUUCGUUUGGGUGGACAAAAAAUAGCUAACUCGAUCAUCUUUGCUUAAAAUUCCUCUAAAGAUACUAGUAACUGCCGAGCUUGUACCUGAAGAGAGAAUUGGAUAAUUAAGACUACAAAAACUAGAGCUCCAAGGAUAUCAUUUAGAAACCACUAGAGGUUUUUUUUUUUUUUUUUUUUUUUGGGUUUUCUAUCUCUCUGAUCCUCCGUUCCAGCAAGGUAAUUUCUGGGUUUAUGAGCUGGAGGGAUGGUGUUGUUGGUGCUGUAGAGAUGAUGAUGAAGGGAUGGUGCUGCAGAAAUGAUGAUGGUGUGGUAGAGAUGGUGCUGUGGAGAUGAUGAUGAUGGAGGAUUUUUAAUUAUUUGAUUUUUUUUUCUUUCUGAUUUAUUUGAAUUUUUAGUUAUUUUUAAAUAUUAGAAUAUUUAAUUAUAUUUUUAUCUAAGUGGAGGUAGGCUCCACUUGCCACGUCACCUACCUAAUUGGUGAAUAAUGAUCCACGUGUACUAACUUACAAAAAACUACCCUUGCCACAUUAUCAGAUUUACUAGAGUUUUGGAUAGAAUUGACGACAUGGGCAAAAUGGAUCACCAAACCUUGAUCAAGGGGAGAAAGUAGGUCACUUUAAGUUUGAAAGAGCAAAGUGAUAUUUGACCGUAGUUUCGGAAGCAUUGGUGUAAAUAAGCCUAAUAUAUAUGCCACAUUAAAAUGUAAUUCUACUUAAAUAAAACUAGUUAUUAGCAUAUGUUGAUGUUCAAUUUCAAUGAAUAUACAUGUAGAUAUGUUAUAUUUUCAAACUGUGAAUUAAAACGAGACAUUCAAACGUUAUGUGGAAUCAAUCAAUAAUAUUCUCAGUCUAAACAUGUGAUAUUAAUUUCCAUAAGUUUUGUUGUUAGAUUUGAACGUAAUUCUAUUUCAUGCUCUUGUCUUGUGAGUUGUUGGCUUAUCUAAACGAUGCAGCAAACCCAACCAAACUAUCCUUGCCUUUAAGUUUUAGCCAUGCGUGUCCACCUUCCCAACUGCCUUCCUUUGCAGGUGGACCUUUUGUGUUUCAAUUUGAUGAGGAGGAUACUUGCAUUUGGUAUGAUAAAAUUGUAGGUGGGUCUCUUUUCUUGAGUUGUUGCUAGGCACGACAUCAGUGCAGUUGGAUAUUUUAAUUCUUAUAGACAAAAUAAAAGCUGUGUAGAUGCAAUUCAACAAAUUUGCCGUCCUUGAAUUUAUUGUUGUUUUUGUGGUAGUUGUAUUGUAUGCAUAUGCUUUUUUGAGUUCAAAGAUGAAUGUUGAUGCUGUCGGUUUAGGCACAAAAGGCUCUUCCUCUUCUACAAUCUAUAUCCUCAAUUCAAGUACGUACCAUCCUCAUUUAUAUAUUUUAGUUGUGUGAAAAGUCUAGCUUUUAUUUUCACAUUGACUCCUCGUUUCAUUAGACCAAAUUAUCUUUUCGUUUCAACUUACAAGGUCAAACUAAAUUUAGUCCAACCCAAGCUUCUUAAAAGGUUAACAAUGAAAAAUACUUCUUGAGAAUAAACUUCCCAUGUCUAAUAAUUUUAAGAGAUAGGAAUGGAGGAUGUUCAUUCUCAUGUUUGGGAAUGCUAGGAAAUGAGGACUAUGAAAUGGUAUUUUAUCACAUUCCCAUGUUUGGUUACUGCAGUAUUAGGAAUGAAAAGUUGUUCAGUUUUCCAACAAUACCCUUAUUUUUUAUUAUUAAAAGUUAUUGUUGAAAAAGCAGUAUUUAAAAAUAACAAUAUAGGUAAGCUAGUGCAAAAAGAGCUGCAUUAAAUGUUUUUCCAAGUAGGGGAAAAAAGUUUCCCAAGGUGAGCCAAGGGUAUGAAAUUCCGCACUACAUGGGAAGUCCAUUCUCAUGAGUCUAUAAUUACAUUAUCAAUAGUGCACUUACCAAACAUGAGAAUGCAAUUUGAAAUCUAUUACUAAACUCCUAAACCUUGAACCAAACAUAAUGGAGAAAUUGUAAAACUAAAUAACAGUGUUACGGUUUGACCCAAAAAUUACUCCAAGCGGUGAGAAUGAGUGAGAAAAUUGAUUAGAAUUAAGUUAGCUCAAUGAUUCGAACACCCAAAAACAUCAAAAGACUAGCAGUGAAAACUUAUUGUAUACCACGAAGUAUGCAACUUUCUUUCCACAAUAACAUCUCACAUGUACUCAGAUAUUAUUCUUGUUCGAAUUUCUUUAACAGUCGAAGAUUUUUUGGAUAUUAUGAUUGUCUAAUAUGAUAUUAGAGUUAUGGUCGGCAAGAUGCCCCAAGUGUACGAAACAGUCAAAUCACAACCCUGACUUCUUUGCUAGGUUGCAAUGUGCAUGGUUGAGCUGCACAUAUGUCCACCUCUGUAGCUGUUUGGAGUUGCACGUGGCGCGAUAAGGGUGUAAGCUUGAUAUACAUUGAUUACAUGCAUUUCCCCAAAACUUUAAGAUUUUGAAAUCUGGAGAUUGUUAAGAGUAUGCAUGCACGCUUCAUACGCAAGGAUGUUUCUUGAAAGUGCUUGGAAUUUUACUGCUUAUUAGGGUUUUGAAGUGUCUUUGCCUUUCUGUUUUUUCGAUCGAAAAUGAUAAAUCUACAAUUCACUUCUUGUCCCAUGCCCUGUAUUGUACCAGUAAUCAUCACUAAUCCACUUGAAGAUGUACCAAUCUUUUUCUCUUUUCAAUAACCUUUUCCCAGAACUGACAAUAAUUUCCGGAGUAGAGUAAGAUAUUCUAAGGAUAAUGUUUCAUGCACGAACAAAUGUAAGUUAAAUCGGUUGGACAUAAUAGUGUCGUUUGCAUCCGAGAUCUACGCACCAAAGCGAAGCCUUAUACAUUUCGAGCACUAAAAUGGGUCACUAGGAUUAAAGAUCCUAAUGUGAACGUCCGUGGUCAAUAGGGCUUAAAGAUCAUCCUGAUGGGACAAUAUUUUUUGUUUUUUUUGUUAUCUUCUCUUAUGGCGGAUGGGAAUGGUUUAGGUGGUAGCUCAAUGCUGCUUUCAGCCAGCACAUACUAUUCCUCUCUAGUUGGGAGGAAUAUAUUUGGGUCGUUUUUAAUUGGGAUCUAUUUGGGAGUACUUUAUAACUAAUAUUACUUUUUAUAACGUAAUUGGGUAAAUGGCACCAGAUAAAUACUUUUUUCAGGGAAGCUUCGGCAUACAGAUGUGAAAGGCACACCAUUAAAAAAUGACUCCAGCCGUAAGCAAAAUGUUACAUUAAUUGCUUUAUGCAUCUGCAGCCACAGAAGAACAGGCACAUUUAUCUAAUAUACAGAAUGAACUCUCUCACCUGUUUCUCCGCAUAUUAUACGUAUAACCAAUUCUACAAUACAAGGAACAAUGCAAGACAUGUUACAUAAAAUGACAGGCAAAUUCAUCCAUGUUGCGCACUUUUUGCCCCACUCUUUGAAUUUGACGAAAGAAUGUGAAUCUAAGAUACGCUUCAUCAGUAUGAUGGUUAGCUCCAUGGUAUUAACAGUUGAGGGUCGAGAUUCGCAACAAGGUCGUGCACGCUCAAAUGUGCACGGUUGUCAUUCACUAGUCCAAGCGAAAAGGAGGUACAACUAAAGAUUAGUUGGCAUCAGAUGCUUCCUCCGUGGAGACUUGAAAGCCCAUCUCCAGAUCAUGAUUGAAAGAAAAAUAAAUAUUUAGUUUAGGGCAUAGUGAACCCGCUCAAGGAGUUGCACAACCUGAUUAACAGGGAUUAGCGCAUAUCGCGAUUUCAAACUGGGCUUUACGGUGCCUUGUGCCCCAAGAGGUGAUGAUAAUACUGCCUCUUGUUGCAUACCAGUCAGCUCCAAGAAUUGAGAGAGCAUGUCACCAUCAAGUAUCUUAGGUACUCCUACCUGCAUCAACAAAUAACACACACAUGCUCACACCCACAUCACUCAUCCACACGGGCAUGAUAACGACAUAAAAUAUUCAUCUUUACAUACAAUAACAUCUGAUGCACCCCAUAUUUCAAAAUGAAACUAUGUAUAAUGUAGCAGUAUUCUUUUUUUAUUUCUUACUCUCAAACUUAUCUCUCCAGCUAAUCAAAGGCACAUUAGAAUUGAAAACCACACCACCAAAUUUAUUAAGGUUUCUGUUGGAAACAAUUUUCUCAUCCAGUUGUAAUCAAUUUUAAGAAUCAGAUUCUAAAUAGAACUGUCAACCGUGUAUUAUACUAAAUGAAACUAAUCUGAUUAAAUUUGGAUGCUGGCAUCGACCAAUUUCUUUGUCAACCCAAUCACUUUAAGCACUAACAGAAAUAGCAACACAUUCAUGGUAUACCCCCGUAACAAACUCCAAAGGCAAAAGGGAAAAAGAAAACAGGAAAAAUAUAUCGAAAAGAUAAAUAACAUGACAUAUUUUAUGCACAGUACUAGUGUUCAUGCACAUGUAAGCAUGCUAGUAUAUAUAGGAAAAGAUUUACAAGAUCCUACAGUUCUUACCGGAUUUUCCCGACUACGAUACUCAUUAUGAUCAUUCCCAAGAAUAGGAGCAGUUAAUGGAUGCACCACUAGUCUAUCUUGGACAGCUUCUAAGAGUUCAUAUUCUUCCCUGGAAAACAUAAAUAAAUAUUUUAGUAAAAAAAAUCAAAUAAAUUUGAUAUCUAUUAAGCAUGGUGUUAAAUUCUAAUCACGAUUUACAAUAAAAAGACAAACACAUUGACCAUCUACUAUUAAGAAGAACAUUGAACAUUUGUAGAAGUAACCAUAGAAAAUUCAGUGCAUCUGUGGCUCGGGCAACCAAUAAAGACAAGAUGCAUAAUGCAUAUUGGUUUAUGGUGACUAGAGACUUUCACUUUAGGAGGGUAUAGAUGAUUAGUACCUUAACUACAAAAGUCAGGAUUCUUAGAUUUUUCAUUGAGGCACCUAGCUUAACAAACUAACAGACAUUUUCUUCAAAAAAAAAUUAUGUCUUUCCAGAGGCAGCUUCACUAUGUUAAUGGUAAAACGAGUUAUAAAAACACAGGCUAAAUCCCCAGAAAUUGGCAGUGAGCCAAGCUUACUUGCUCAAAUGAUCAACCACUAUGUGUAGGCUAAUAAUAGCACAUAAAGACUUUAGAUGCAUCUCUAGGAUGUCUGACGCCUUUUAUUUGACGUCAGGUCUAAAAGCAUGAUGGUGCAACUUUUUUGAAAAGGAAGGUUAGUAAAAGGGAAUUGGAAUUAAGGCUAUUUUGCAUACCUUGAUAUUGGCACGAAGGUUAUUAUGCUUCCAAGCAGUGUACUCACAAUGAUGGCGUUUUGUGAGAAGUCGAUAUUUCCAUCACAACCCUUCAAUACAUCAUCAGCUGGAAGUUUAUAUGAAAAUGAUCCCUAGAAAGAAAAUUAUUAAUGUAACCACAAGGUAAGCACCAAGACAUUUCACAACAAUUUAUAAGAUAGUUUCAGAACCAGAAGUUCUGCAACGAAGCAAUAGAAAUAGUUUCUGAAGGUAUGUUUUCUAAUAUAAUAAUAUCAAGUUAUCAUGCUCUCAUGGACAUUUCAUCAUUUCUAUAUUGCAAGCAUCCACUUACGUAUGCACUUUUGUACCAAACUUUAAAGUCAUGAUGUAUAUUAUUACUUUCAUUCAUUAACAAAAGAAAAAAGUUGGUCUUGCUGAAUGUUGCUUAUAAGUUACAGCCCAUUCAUGUUAGUCUUUUAUAUACUCAUGAGUCAUGAAAAUUAAUAUCUAGCAGGAGCAAAUUAACCUUGUAAGGCCUGCUUUUAAAUCGGGAUCUCUUCACUUAUUUUGAGGAAAAAAAAUACGAGUCUUUAACUAUUAGGGUUUGUUUUCCUAUUUACUAGAAAGGUUUCUUGUUGGCUUUAUUUCCUCAUUGGGGUUCAACUGCCAAGUACGGCUGAUUGCAACCUACAAAAGCAGACUUGAUUAUUGGAGUGAAAUUACAGAUUUUUUUAUGCCAGGAUUGAUAUUAAAGAUUGAAAUCCUCUCUCUCUCUCUCCCCCUCCCUCCCUCCCUCCCUCCCUCUUUUUCGCUUUCUUCCUAAUUUUUCCGCAUCAUCAUUAUAUGUCAACUCCAGAUAGGUAUACCUAAAUUCAAUUCCUUCAGUUACUUCAGGCAUUAACAAUUUGAACUUCGAACGUUUAAAGGCUAUAAUCCAGUAGCUAAGAAGACACAGAGUAAAGAUGUACCUUCCUGAUGCUCAUAGCUAUCUCGCCCAUAUAAUAAGCACAGCUCACUGUUAAAUUACAUUCUGGACUUGCGGUAUCUGGUACACAGAAUUGUAAGAAGAAAAAAGUUAAAACGGUACCACUUCCAGACGAAGCAUAUGAGCAUGAACAGGGUCUGAAGACAAAAUGAUAGAAACCAAACAAUAUGAAGGUAUUAAUAAAUUUGACUACCACCGUUAUUUGUCUGUCAAGAAUCCACCACCACCAUACAUUGAUAACACUAACUCUUGACAUUAAACAGCACGAAAUUUAUGAAGUAGUGUAUGCUCAUUAGCAUUUAAUUUAAGGCUGUCUGAAAUAUAAAAAAACCAUUUGUAAAACAAAAAAUUCAGUUUCCCACAAAAUAAAUUUCUACUUCACCAUCAUGCCAAUUGCAGUGGAGCAUUUCUCUAUAAUGAUUUAAAUCAUAGAAUCUGUUCCCGACAAGCAAGUACCACAUUAGCAAUGUUUUCCCAACAUCGUGAUAAGGAAAAUGCAUAUGACUAUGUUACAAGCUUCAUGUCAAUAACAAAUAAGUUGUGAAAUAAUAUAUCUGACAAGUUUCUUCCUUUUGUGUUUUCUAAAAUUACAAACCGUGUAUAAUUCACAAAAUUUCUAUAUUUCUGACCAAAUCAACUUGCAUAUUGUAGUCAAACAAGACAAUCAUUUUGAAUGCUAUACAAAUUGGUAUCAGCUAAAAAAUCAUACUUCCAAAAGACAAUCAAUUUCUCUUCAUAUUUAAAGCAAAUACACAGAUAGUCCAAUGUUAAUCUCUAUAAACAAUUUCUGAGCUGCACAUCCUGCUGCUUCUGUUCCAACCCUCAACUGGGUUUUACAGGACUUAAGCUGGAAGACAAAAAGAUUUGCAGACAUUGAUUUACAAUUUCACAGGAAAUUUAAUCUUUUACCUUCUAAAUAAUCUGCACAAGAAAGAACAGCAAUGCUUCCCUUACGAUCUGAAACAACAGCAGUAUUGACAUCCAUAAGAAUGCAAUCAGCAACUAAUCUCUGACAUGGAUCAAAGUAUAGUUGCUGCAGCUUUUUGGAAUCCUUCCACACAAGAAAGAGAAGCAAACAAUAUCAGGACAAAUAAUACAAAGUACAAGGUGUGACCAUAUUGUAACUUCUAACGUAAAAGUUACUUAGACAAAGAAAAAUAAACAACAACAAAAGGAGAGAGAGGGGAGAGCGAUAAUGCUUACCUCAUGAUAAGCAUAGAAAAGGACACCAUCACGACAAUCACCAACAGCAAUUGUAGUGAAAUGUGCAGUCAAAGACGUAAUCAUAAAACGUGUCCUUGCCCAAGCAAACUUUCUCACUCUUUGGGAAUUGUCAUUUGGAAACCCGCAUACAUAAAACUGAGAAAAGAAGACCAAUACCUUCAUCAACAGUUGUCAUGCAAUAAACCAGGUUAACCUUAUCUUCCAACUACAAAACUUUAAAACAUGCAUAUAGAACAAUAUAUAGGGAAAAAAAGAAGAAAGAAUAAGAAAGAAAGAAGUUUGCUACUUACAGCAUUACCAGAAGACGCCAAGAAGUAACGAUCAAGAUAAGGACAGAUUGCAAGCACCAUCCCAGGCCAUUUGGUUACAUAAGCCAAUCGAAACUGCCAUGCUUCAGUUUCUUCAAGUUUAAUUCCAUCACAGCUCGUAUCAUCUGGGCUACUGCAAAGACUACUGCUUGAAAGCUGUUCUGUGGCAUACCCAACAAUUUCAUGAAAUGGAGAUGCUCGUUGAGAAGAUGACCCUGCCUUUGAGCAUAAUGUCAUUGAGCCACUGUCUGAAUUUUGCACAUGUUCAAGACAGAGAACAAUAAGACGUCCCUUGGUACUGUUAACAAGAAUCCAGUUAGAAUGCAUGCCUAUCAAACAAAAGGAAUUGAGAAUGACCCUCAAACAUUUACACAUUGACACAUUGCCUGGAAAUUAGUUAACAUUGAAGAUCCUGAAAAACUUAUAUUUAUAACUUGAACCUUUUAAACUCUGAGGAAGAGAGAGAAAUAAGGACACGUGCUUUACCUCUCAGCCUCACCACUAGGCAUUAUGGCUGGACCAGAAGAUAAACUCGUCCCAACCACAAGAACCUGUUCAUUUCCAACCCUCACUAACUCCAUGGAUUUCCCUGUUUCACCGGGUUCAAGUUUGAAAGAUGACAGCACUGACCCACUAAGAGGAUCUACACAGCAUAUAUCGGAUGAAGAUGUAUCAUUACUCAAAUCAGUCCUCAUCACAAGCAAUAGCCUGCUUUCACUAUGAUAAAGGACCUCCCUCGGAGUGCCUCCAAGAUGAAACUUCUGCACAUUAAGCCUCUUACUAUGCACCAUCUCUACCUAGAAUCAUCAUAUAACAUUGACUAGAAUCAAUAUAUCCAACUUCAAGAUAAUUUAGUAUAAAAAAUAAAAUAAAAUAAAAUAAAAAACAUUACAAACAUGAGCCUCAUAGACUCACAAGCUUUUAAGCUCACAAGCAAGCACCCACUCACAUAUGCGUACACACAAGCGUAAUUUGAAAAUAAAAAGACUUGCAAUUCCUAUGCAUUGGGAGGUCCCAAACUCUACCCAACCUUGGUUAAGGCAUAACUCAGUCAAAUGUCCUUGGACAAUGCCAAAUGACCUCAGCAACUAUGCUAAGAUUUUCUAGGUUAGUGUUAGUUUAUUUACUACACCUUAUCAUUCUUUAAUAAAUUCAGUAUCAAAACAUUAGAAGCUAAUCAACUUCACAGAUUCGGCCAGUUCCACUCAUCAAUCUUGUUCCAAAUAUUGUCAGGGAAUAUCUCUUUUAUUUAACAAGGCAAAGACAUAGAGCACAAGUGAAAUUCCAUUUACUGACAAUACAUUCAAUGGGAUAUACAAACCAUCAACCUUUUGUUCCAAUAAUCAUAUAGGAACAUCUAGCCUGCUAGGACAUCUGUGGAAAUGCAUGAACAUCUGUCUAAUUCUAAUCAUAUAAUAGCAUAGAACAAAUUUUUUAACUGGAACAUAAUUCCCAUAGUCCUAUGUUCUGAAAGACAAUAGUGAUUAAGAAUGAAAAUAAGUAUAUUUAUUCAAAACCUCAAAAAAUACCAUCAAAUGGACACAAACAUCCACAGUUCCCAGAAGAAAAGGAAAUAGAAAUUCCAUGAAAAUCUAGAAAUCCCAGUUCUGUGAAAAUUAAAUAUAAACUAUAUAGAAAAAUUAGCUGCAGUUAAUAUGGUAAUAUACUCAAGAUAAACCUUUUUGUACAAGGCUCCAUACACUUCCUAGAUUGAAGGCAUAAUUACAAGCUGACAAGAGUAGAACUAGAAUCAAACAAAAACAUAUUGAUAAAACUAGAUUCAACAAAAUGAAAUAUAUAGACCAACAAGAGCACACAGCAAUAUGGAGUAGAACUCUCACCAAAUGUAGACAGUUCUCUGCAACAAAUAAAAUUCCCUUAGGGCAUUCCACAUAACAUACAGGAGUGACAUGUGUCGAAGAUUGAAAUGAGAUAGAAGUAUAUGAGAGGCUGUGCCUUGCAGUAUGCAACAACCAAGGCCUAUCACUGAGAACAACUAUAUCACCAUCUAGCGAGUCACUCAAAGGAACCAAGAAAACAGGGGUGAUGCCAAUCCGACGUGUAGCAAUCAAUUGAAGUUCAAUAGGAAAUUUGUCCUUUGUCUUCUCAGAGAACUUAACAUCAUAUAUUUUUGGGCCAAACGAAUUUGCUGCUGAUACACUUGGAAAAACAGUAUUUGUAUUAACUGAAAGAGAUCCAACAGGCAUUGUUGGGGAAGCAGGCCAUUCGAAACGAAGCAGCAUUCCAUUCCUCAAUCCCGAAAGGACAUACAAUCGGUCCACUAAUACAAGCCUUACAUCUUGAGGAAUGCAGCCACUAAUAGCAGUUCCCAAAGUAUUUGUUAACGAGAUCGUCCCAGAAGCAAGAACUCUCAGUCCUUCAUUAGGCACAAGAGACAAAACUUCCACUGAAGGCUUGUGCGUGCCAAUAACAAAGAUAUUACUGAUGUCAACUCCAAAUGGAAGGGUGGCAUCACAGCUAUUAUCCACCAGACUGGUUCCCUCAAAACGUUUCUGAGGAAUGGAAACACACGAUAAUUCAUUUUGCAAUCUCAAAUAUUGCAUUUCAUAUAUUUCAUAAUGAUGCGCCGAAAGCAAUCUAACCCCAAGAAUGAAUAAAAAGCAUGGAUUAGACGAGGAAACAACAAUUAGAUUAUGUCCAACAGCCCCCAAACUGAUACUCAUAUUUUCUGGGAACCAAGAUGUGCAAACCGGAGAAGGCAGUGGAAUACCUUCAGAAUGGGCAGUCUUGGUGGGUAAACAGAGCCUAACUGCAUUUUUGUGAAUCUGAACCAGCAAUCCAUCAUUUACAACACCGCAGGCCAAAGUAGAAACGUCAGGCUGAAAACCAACUGAAUCCGUCACAUCAGUAAAGCUUAAACCAACUGAUAAUACUCUGGUCUCCUCAACAAAUGAUAGCACAAGAAAAGAAUGGUAAGAAUCAAUUACUUUCAUUCGUAAUGUCCAAGUACCAGUAAUCCCUUGAUAUAUAGGUGCAGUCCUCAGUAGCUUUUCCACACUUAUACCAUUUCUAAUAAUCCUUAGUGACCCCUCCGGUGCCACUCCACAACAGGCAAACAUUUGAUCAUGUUUUUCAUCAUGGUAAUCCACAACUGACAUAUCCAGUACUGGGGCAAUAUUUUGAAUAGGACUUGCAUAAAGAAGUGCCCCAUUUUCCAUUUUCAAUACCAUUCCGUCUCCCAUCUCUAUUAUUGCAGCCAGAAACCCGCCUUCAACCCACAAAACUGCCUUGCUUGGUAAACCUUUGUAAAGACACUCAGAUUCUUGAACCUUAAGUCCAUCAGGACCAAAGAUAAUUUCAAUCAUGAAAUAUUCUCCUGUAUCUGCACAAAUGAUCAUUCUGGGACUUUUAGCAUUUCCCGGUUCCCAACUCCAUGAACACACAUGUUUGUAAGUCACAUUCACAUUGUAUUUGUCACCAUCUAUACACAUUGGAUCUAAAUCGCUUAGUUCUAGUAAAGCACAUGCAGCUACAUUAAAUAAACCUCCUUCAUCAUCAACCUGAAGUACUCUAGAUAGAUCACAUCCUCUAGAUGACUCUUGAACAAAAUUUGCCUCAUCAACCACAUUGGAUAAGAAAUUUGGGCUUGUUCUGUGGACACAAUAGGGGAUCUGUGCAUCUCUAAGAUCCAUUAGGAGAGCAUCACCCUCCCUAAACAUAAAAGCAAAUCCAUAAGAAUGAGGAACUUCAACAAUACUAUGUGCUAACGGUCCAUCUUCAGUAUACGUAGAAAUCACAUAAAUUUCUUGUUCACUAAUAUUCCAUCCCAGUAACAGCAAUUCAUUAAGGACUGCUCCCCUCCUGCAAUGCCAAAAUUUUCCCAUGUAUAUAGAGUCAUCAGAAUGUGAAAAUGACUUCUAUACUCAAACCAUGUAAACAAUUGCAAGUGCAUUUUUUUCCCCCACACACGCAUGACAAUCAUACCUAUUUAGAAGAAUGGCAAGUACAGGAUUAUGCCCCUUACUUGAUUGACUAGGAUCCUUUGAAAUAAAGCUCAUGCUCCAUAUAGUACCACAUAUACUGUUUUUUUGAACUCGGGCAGCACUAGCAUCUGCUUCUUUUUCUUGGGGGAAGACUAUUUUCUGAAAUUUGGACAACAGAACAUCUGAAAAACUUCGCAUGAAAAAUUUGUGGUCAAAAAGAAAAUAAAAAAGCUUCAUAUGUUCUUUUUCUAUACAAACAAAAUUCAUGUCAUUUUCUCUAAAAUAUACAAUACUGUGAAACCUAUAAUAAGAAGGGAAAGCAGCUCAACCUUAUCAAUAAUGUCACUGCCUCCAGACACUGAAACAGAGAACAUGGCCAACUGGUUUUCAUAAGCACUAGCAGCAAUGAAACAGCCACUGUAAAAGCGUAAACAUAGAAAUUAGGACUACAAAAAAAUAAUGGGACUGCCAAGAGCUUCUAUUUACAUAUUCAUUAGUUUAUGAAAUCUCUACCACAUGCACUAGAGCAUAAGAAAAGAACAAACAUAUAAUAAGCAAACAUAUGAACACGCGAAGUUGUGCUCUACUCCACGUACUAAACUUUCUUCCUAAAAAACAAAGCUUACAAUUAUUCCACAAAAGACCCACAGCUGUUUGAUAGGGGGAAAAAGAGGAACAUUCAGGAUUAAAAUGGUAAGGAAAAAAAAAAAGCAUUUAUUUAACAACAAAAAAUAUUAUCUUAUACCCAACUGCUCCACUUUUCAGUUUAACUUUCAGUCCUUUACCUAAUUCCCCCUUAUAUUCCCUCUUUCUUACCCACUUUUAUUUUCUCCCUCUCCUAACUACUAAAAAAACUACUUUUAAUUAUUUUACUCGACAAUGUUUAAGUUACACUUUUCUAUCACACAAGAACAUAUAUUGUUUGCAGAAUCUAAUGCAAGAUAAGUAAAAUUACAGUUAAUAUUCUAUAGCAAUAUCCUAAAGUUUUCCAGGAAAACAACAAGAAAUCUAGUAAACAAAUAAUUUGCAAAUCUUUAUUGGCUGAACUAGUUCAGGGUGCAUAGCAACUAGCUAAAGAUUUUAAACUAUUACAUGAGAAGACAUGACACGACAGAGCAAAUGAUUAUAUUGCAAGUAAAAAGUAAUUUCAUCAUGGAAAUUGAAAGGAGAGGAGAAGGAAUAUGUGUUUACCCAAACUACACAUAAACCAAACUAAGUUAUAAAACCUUUUUUCAAAAGUUUCAAACACAAUGGUGACUUACCUUGAAUCAAUGGCUAGCAUUCUUCCAAGCUGAUUCCUUGAAUUUCCAGGAUUAGAAAGUUGAACUUGUGUCACAGGAAAAAACCUACGUAAAACAUUUCCAAAUAUAAUAAGAGUAAGCAGCAGAGAAGGGUGGAUUGUCAGUGUUGACAAUUUGGAAUAUAUAAUUGGGAGGCAUGGUUAGGUUCCAUUAUUAUACUUGGCGCACAUCCUAAACAAACCAUUUGCACGGUAUUCGAGACGCUUACUGUCAUAUAGCUGGUUUUUUAUUUUAUUGCACUGUUCAUCAAGAAGCAACACCAAAAACGAAAAGUUCAAGAAAGCAAGAAAACGUAUAUUUACCUGUGCAUUUCAUUGCAAAAAGAGAGAAACGAGAGGUUCCCAGAAUCAGAAAUAACAACCAAAAGGUCUUUACCCAGCAUCUACCACAAGAAGAUGAACUUAUUUCAAUGAAUACAACUUAGUUAAUUUUUGAAAUACAAAAAGGAAGAAAGAAAACUGUAAGGUUCUCCAAGUAAACGAGAAACCUGUGGGUUUUGGGUGCGGAAUUUGUCAUUCGAGGGUAGGAUGGCGAUGUCUUUAAUGGUGCCAAACACAGGCUGCUCGCAUAUAGACUGUACAAUCCCAUCUUCACCAAUUAUGACCAACUCUAUGGAAGUCUCCUGAAUUUCAAAUUUGCCACGAACCAUUAACAGUUAGAUUAAGCUAUUUACUUCUGAGCUUAGGCAAGAUUAAUAUCAAGCAAACGCAGUUUUUUUCUUAUCUAAUUCCAACAAAAUUACAAUUAAAUAAGAAGAGCUUGAUCAGAAAAGCAGUACUCUUUGUUUCUAAAUCCAACAAAAUUACCGUCCUGCUCACAAUAGCUGCAGGAAAGUGGUGAACAACAUGAAAAGUGAGAGAGAUAGAUGACCUUCCCGAAGACGACGUCGUAGGAAGUGGGAAAGCGGAUGUGACCAUAGAGGACCUGAAGAACAACGCUCCCUCGGAGGACGCACUUGGCGAGGUAGUGAGAGCUGCUGGCGGAGGCUGAUGAGGAUGAUCGGGAAUUUGCAGACGAACACUCUUCCUCUGAGACCGCCAUUGACGAUGGCCCCGAGAAUUUCAAAGCUAGGGUUUUCUGUUUGUUUCUCGAUAAAACUUAAACGACUGUUUGAUUUUCCGACAACUAAAAGGUCUCUAUUUCUUAGGCGUUUGUCGUCAAGGCUCCAGGUGUCCUCACAGAGAGAGAUGGACUUAAUAAAAUUAAUUAAGACUGAUCAUGUGUUAUACUAAUUAAGUAAUCAGAUAUUUAAAGCAAUGAGGAUUUUAUCAAGAAUUUAAUGCUUUACAAAUUAAAACUCUAAUGAAAUUUAAAACUUAUCUUUUUGGAGGGAUUAAUGACUGUGACAGCAGAGGUGACAUCAUGUGUAAUGAUGGUUUUAGUGCUACUAGUAGUAAGGUGGUGGCGAGGUAAGAGUGUGGUGGCGGCAACGGCAGCGAUGCUGAUGAGAUGGUUUAUCGCGGUUGUUGUGGGGAGGUGCAGAUGGUUGCGGUGAUGGGCAUAGUAUGGUUAUAGUGGUGGUGGUAGCCAAAUAUGGUUCGGUUGGGGUGGUGGUGGUAUAGGCGAUGUGAUACAUAGUUUAUUUUAUUUUAUUUUUCUUCAAAUCUUUCACUCUUGAAAAUUUUGAAAUAAUGUCUAUUUAUAUAGAAUUGAAAAUCAAUAGCGAUACUCAUGAUAAAGUGGUGGUGGUGGUAUAAAAGAUGUGGUAUAUUAUUUUUAAAUUAUUUUUUCUCUUAAAAUUAUAAUUCUCUUGAACUCUUAGAAAUGAUAACUAUUUAGAUAAAAUUUAAAUUUAAAAUUUAUGACUUCGAAAUUCUAAAUUUGUUUCACAAAAAGAUUUUAAAUUUAUAUAUUUUAAUGAAUCCAAACAAAAGUGUAGGUGCAUGUCAAUUCAAAAGUUAGGACUUUUAUCUAAAUUCCAAAUUUAUUUUCUUCUUUCAAGCCUUUGCUGCUACAAAACAAACGCUACCCAACUUUCUUCCUAACUAUGAUUUCUCAACUAACACGCAUAUAUGAUGGAGCACAUCCCAUCGACACGUUUAUAACGAAACAACGCAUAAUACUCAAUAUACGAGCAUGCUUACACCAUGUAAGUUGGAAAUUAAGAAAAGUAGGUUGUAUAACAUGGUCUAAUCAUUAAACAUGACGUCUAAUACAUGGCCUACCAACAAGGACAUCAAUCAAUUUCAUACAAUGUUGUACAUGAUCGAACUCACGUGCAAGAAGACCGAAAAACCACCUGAUUAAUUGACUUAAACCGCAUAUCUUUUUUAAUUUGCAAUACACAAAUUCAAAUUUGACAUAAACCCUAUAAUAUGAAGAAAAAUAUCACCGAAUCAAUAGCUAGUUUAGUAUUCUCCUAUUGGGCAAUUAUAUGUUUUGUCCACCGUCCACAUUGUAAAUGGACAAGACCUUACACCAUAUUCAUGUCGACUCCACCUGUUUCACAAUUUUAAUGUCAAUAAUCGAUUAAAACUUGUCAAAAACGACCUGUCCCAUCCUAUGGUGCAUCAUUUUCAUCUUCCUGUUUGCCGCCCAUCUCACAAAUCCAUUUAUUGAACAUAUUCUAGCAAUAGCAGAACUAUGAAUUUUUCAAUAGGUGAAUUGUGCUAGCUAAAGUUAUUAGCUAAAAAUUUCAUUAUCAUUAAUUUAUGUACUUACAGUUUCAAUAAUUUUUUUUUAGAAAUAAAAGUGUAUAUUAAAUUAUAUAAACCAUGUUAGUUAAUAAUUUUAUUGACUUUUUUUCAAUACGUUUCUUUUGUGAUAAACAAUAUUGGGAUAGGGGUAAUCGAACUUAGGACAUCAAGUGCAAUGGUAAAUAGUCUCAACUAUUGGAAUUAGCCCCUAACAAUUUCCAAUAAACUUUAACAUAAAACAAAUACAUAUUAAAUGCAACCAAAAACCACAUAUUGUCAAAAUGAAAAUAUGUUCAACAACAUAAUUGAAAAUAUAUCUAUUUUAAUGGGUAUUUUUAUUGUUGCCCUGAAACUAAAUUCAUAAAGAAUUAGAUUUGUUUUGAAUUUUAAUAGGUUAAUACAUACUGGACUAUAUUUAAAAUAAGGCAAAUAUAUAGGUUUGAUUUUUGUUUAUCCCCAAAACCUCCCUAGGUUACAGUUUGUCCUAGUUCCGCCAGUGUAUUGUAAUGAUCUAUUGACUUUGUUGAAAAUGUUUUCUUCUUUGCCAAUCGGUAAAUAAGGGUUCGUUUGGUAUCCUACUUAGAUCAAAUUUUACAAACUCAAAAACAAAUUUGAAGUCCAAAACUUAAAAUACCCGUUUAGUAAGGCCAGUUUUAAAAACCCGAACCAAAACAAACUAAAAAACACCCAAUGAUUGAAAACCGAAAAAGUGAGGUUAUAUAUAUAUAUUUUAUCUCUCUCGCUCGCUCUCUCUCCUCUCUUUCUCGUCAUUCUCUCAUCUGUCUCUGUCUCUCAUUGGUUGCUGGUUCAACGCCAUCAUUUGCAGCUCUAUCAAGCUCACAGAUUUUUCCAUUUUUUUGUUAACUUCAAUUUGAGAAUCCGGGGUUUCUAAUUUUAAUUUUAAUUUUUUAGAUUUUAAAAAUAGUUUGGAGUUCAAUACCAAAGAAGUUUUUAGAUCUUAAAAUCACUAUUUGAAAACUCAUCUUUUUAAAAAGAAUUAUAAUUUUUGAGUAGGAUACCAAACAAUGCCCUAGAAUUUCAGUGCAACAAAGCAAGAGAGAACACUAUCAUGCACGCUAUCAAAUUGCUUUUACUCUGAUUACAAAGACAAUUGAACCUAUAAUUUUACUAAUACAUAAAGCAUGAUGAAGGUAUUAAGAUGCAACUGUCCAAGAGGCUUCAAUCCGCGGCAGCACGAACAUGAGCACACUCCCUUACUUUAGCACAAAAGAUGCGCCGGUGUCCUCCAAUGUUCCAAUAGACUCCUUGAGAAGUCUCUGUGCUUCUUCUCUCCUCCUAAACCAGAAAGUGAAGCAAAUAGUCACAAGCAAUUAUGUAACAUCCAAUCCGCAUGGCAAUUUGAUUACACAGUCAAAGUACCAGUAGAUUUAAGGAAUUUAUAUGCAUCUUUGAACUCUUACACUGACCACGCACACACUGCUUUUUACUUUUAACCUCAUAAUUCAAAGUUGCAAGAAAUUAAAUAUCAACAUUUCGAUGCCUCACAUACAAGAAUAGGGGAGUUUUUCUAUAACAACUUCUACAAUGCACCAAAAGAAUAGCCUAGUAGAUUCAAGUAAUUUUACUCUAAAUAAAAUGCUAUAUAAGCUAUUCAUUUAAAUGAUCAAAGGACAGAGAAAUUUUCCUUCAACUGUUUUGGAAAAAAAAGCAAAACAUUUCAGCCUCAGACCACAAAUCUUUUCAGUAAUUGUUGAAAGCAUACCUCUUUAUAUCCUCCACAGCUUGUUUACGACGUUGUAUCUGAAGUUCUAGAAUGUGAAUUAGCGUUGCCCUAGCCUGUAUGAUAAAAUAAAUUACAAAAUAAAGAACCUCAAAUACAAACCAAUACAGAGCAUUCUAAGACCCAAAACUAUCUUACUUGAUGGGGACGCAAUGAGUUGAGAAGAUGAUGCAAGUUCUUGAAGAUAAGAGAUAUAUCUUCCACUCUCCUCGCGUACUGUGAUGGUCUCUCUACAAGAAUAUCAGCCAGCUCCAAAAUGUGCAGCUGUAAUUCUCUGUUAAGUGACCUCAGUUCCUUCUUAUAAUCUAAGGAGUAUCACAAUUUUUGUCAGAGAAGCACAAAACAUUUUAGAGGCGAAAAACAAACGCAUGCAUAUGCACAAUAUUUCUUGUUAAUUAUUAUCAAUCAAAUCAUACUUUGCAAACCAGAAGAUACAUACCCCAUAACAUUCUUCUCCUUUCUAGAGAGGACAUUUGUAUUGCACUAAAGAAGGCUCAUUAAGGGAUCAUAUUUUAAUCGUAAUGUCUGAUCUAUCAUUUAUGACAACAUUUUCUAGUAUGGAUUGGAUAUAUGCCAUAGCCUAGAAAACUAUGCCAAUCUAUCAGAAAUGUGGAGUAACUGUAACCAAGAAAGGUGUAGAUAACUGUAACCAAGAGAAAAUUUCUCAGUCUAGUAACUGUGUUCUACCUUAGCAAAGAAAACCUCUCUUUUGCUAACAACUUUCUAAAGAAAAUUAUAGUUAACUAGUUUAUAAAAAUGAUAAAUAAUAAUAAGAUAAUUCAACCAAUGCUAAGAAGAAACUGCAAUAAAUGGUGAUCGCAACAAUGCUUGAAGCAAGAAAACGUUCACAUUAAUUCCUAAAUUUCAAAAGCAGUAAUUUCACAUGACAAAACAAAUAAUUAAAACUAGAACGGAGACAUACCAAUGUUUGGGCCUUUUGGAUACAGUUGACGCACUCCCUGAUCUUCCAAGCUCGGAAGAAUGUCAUCAGUCUAUAUAAAAUAAAAUAAAACUAAUUAAGAAAAGAUUACAGGGAAAACAAUGAAAUCAUACAUUGAUAACAUCAACACGGCAAAUUAUAGAAUUACACAUAUUUUGUAGAGGAUAAUCCAAACUCAACAUUCAAAGCCAACAACUUUAAAGGUACAUAUAUGACAUUCCUGGCUAAAGCAACUGCUAUAAAGGAGAGAUGGCAUUCUUCAAACAGUAAAUUCAACAAACUUUACUUUUCACCAAAACUUCCAGCAUCCAGUCAUUAGUGACAAAAGAAAUUUUCAGAAAUCAAAUUACAUAGUUUAUAUAAAUUUUGACAGGAAGAAUGCAAAGAAUGAGAAAAGCUCACAGUGUAAUUGCCACCAUAGCAAAUGUAUGUCCCUUCAAUCGGAGGGGGCGGCUCCGGAGCUGAUUUGGGAUCUUGCAAGUAAUCUUUGUAGAGCUUAUAAUAUGGUGGUGGUGGUGGAUAUGUCGCUGUAGCCAUUGCCAGCACCUUCUGGCCAAACCUAAAUCAACCAAGUUUAAAGAAAACAAUCAUGCCAAGGGCAGCUCUCAAAAUCAAACAGAAAACAAACUGAAAUAACCUAAUAGAAAUAUUAAGAAAUCACCCAAUUAUGUACAUAGAAACACAGAAUUUGAACCUAGAAACACAGUCUCCUUUGCAUCACGACAUUGACACCUAAAGCGAACACACAGCCACACAAUUGUUUAAACCAAACCAUAAACCUGCAAUUUCCUUUUAACAGAGACAAAGUACCCACACCUCCAUCUGCAUCUCCACCACAAUAUCACCCAAACCACAAUCAAAUGCAUUCUACCAAACCAAAAUCAAGCCCAUUUAAAAAUGCCAUAAACAAAACAAUCUCAAAAGAUUACAGGGAACCCGAAACCAUCCCAUAAAUUAAAUCCACGCCUCCAUAUGUAUUAGCUGCUGAUAGAAUGUGAACUUUGCAACGUAUUGUUAUAAAUUUUUUACAUUAGCACAAGACCUUGUCAUAAGAAACAACAAAUAGUAAUAAAAUAAAAAAAAUCUAUUCCCAAAUUAAAAUCAGAAAUUCAUAACAAUACAAAUGUAAAAUUAUACACAAAGCAAACUUACCUGAACUCAAAAAACCUACUCCGGCAGCUGUACUGAAAUUGGGAUUGAUGCACAGAAGCAAUUGAUUUACUGAAAGAGAAAAAAGAUAAUUAUAUCACUCGAAAAUUAAACCUUUAACUCAGAAAACAAAUAUAAAGCUAUGGAAGAGAGAGAGAGAGAGGAAUUGGAGAAGGAAAGAGAAAAUCAGAAAUUAGGUAAGUUCAAUCCGUGGCCGAUUUUUUUUCGAGCGAGAAUGGAACCGGAACUGGGCGUUCCUGGUUGGAUUCGCCAUAACCGGAACCCUCAUCUCCAAGUUCUCUCUUGACCUCACUGAGGAAGAUGCUAAAACCUCACCUUUCGUUCAGAGGCUCAAGAGGUGAUUUCUUCUCAUGUUGUGGAGAGGGAGAUUCGCGUGCUUUCUCCAAGGACUAUGAUAACAUGAGAAGAAAAAUAGACAAGGAGGGAGAGGUUUGCUUUUUAAUAUUUAUUUUAUUCAUCAUACUUGUUGCUCAAUUAUAUUGUUGAUCCGGUUUUUCGGAUAAAAUUUAAAUAAAUAAAAAAGAGCUGCUAAACGAACCUUAAAAUUAACUGAGUACACCAUAUGAUCUAAGUACAUCUUAAUAUUUUAAUUAAAAUAUAAAAUUAACUAAGUACACCCUAUAAAACUACCAAAAAUAUCCAUAAUACACUCUAAUAUUUGUAGCAUUAUUUUAUAGUUGAUUUUCAGCUUGAUUUUUUUAAUAGUGUUUAUAAAUCUUUGACUUUUCAUAUGGAUUUAUGCUUCUACUAAAAUUGUUGACACUAAUUUUUGCAAUUCCAAGUUCUUGCAAUCACCACCUCUUUCGUUAAAAACACAAUAGGACAAGCAAUCUCUUGAUUAGGGUUGAAUAUGGUUAGUACGGUUUUCACAAUUCCAUAUAUCCUUUUUGGUCAUUUUAUAUUAGAGUAAAUCAGUAAUUCAAUAUAUACUUUUAUAGUAGGGUGUACUCAGUUAAUUUUAGGGUUCGUUUAGCAGCACUCAUAAAAAAUUGAUGUGUUUUCCACUAAAGUUUUUUAAUUGCACCUUGUAGUUUAUUAAUUAUUGCAAGUUGCAACUAGGUCUAAAAUUGUCUAAAAUGAUUUAAUUUGCAAUCGUUAAUAAACUAGAUAGUUAAAUUAUUGUGUGUAUCUGAUGUCGUAUGUGUUGAAUUAUAACACGUGCACACUUAAGGACGUAUUGUGUGUAUGUGAUGCCGUACGAAGAAGAAAUGUGGGGGAUGUAUGGGUGGGAUAAUAACUUGUUGAAAGGCAAUUACUUUAGGAAUUGCAGAAUUGUGGAUCGGCUAGUGACCCUUGGAAACCAUUUAUUGGCUUUGUGAAAACUUACUAGAAGCAAAGCUCAUAAAAUAUGCUAUGCCUCUUCUACUUGGUUCAAGCUGCUGCACGAGAUAACAAUGAGGAUGUUGUUACAUUUGGUGGAAGGGCUGGUAGUUUUCUGGUGCAAAAAAAGAAAGAAGAAGAAAAAAUAUUGUCUUUCUGAUGGCAAAACAAAAAUCAAAUAAAAUUCUGGUCAGGCACAAAUCUAAAGAGGCAACUUAUUGUUAACAAGCAAAAGAAAACAUGGCCGCAAUUCAAAAGAAAACACAAAAAACUCCAACUUAAGCCUCUAGAAAUAAACUCAAACGAUAAAAAAUAAUAGUUUCCAAGGGGGAAAAAGUUUCAGCCUUGCUUUUAUGCUAUGUUUCCUUAAGCACGAAUUCCUCUGUUUAGACUGACCAAACGGGUUGAAGUAUCCAUCUGAGACCCCCUUGCAGAUGAACUAGCUUGAUAUCCAGUCCUCCCUGACCCUCCAUAGGCAGCAUCUUGAUACCGCGUGUUGUGACCUGUUCCCCGGUACUGGCCUGUGCCUGUUCGAUCCCUUGAAUACCCACCUGCAGCUUGACCAUAUGCCAUUGAUCUAUAUCCUGUGCGCCCGGAGGCACCACCUUGCCUUCCUUGCGUGUAUGACAAGUUAUCUUGCCACCUGCCACUCACUGCAGUUGUUCCAGCACCAUAGUCCUGGCUGUCCCUACGCCUCAAAGGCUCUAUAGCACCGCCACCUAUCUUCAAUUCGGUUGCCCUUUCGUUACUUUCUGCAAUGAUUGACAAUUUCUCAGUCAAUUGGAAAGCUAGAUCCUGCAGCCUAGUGUGCUCGACAUCAUGGAAAACAAUGCAGUGUGUCGGCUGAUCCCAACUAGCACGCAGCUCAUCGUUGAUCAUCAUCUUGCUCACAAUGCAAUGAGCCUGCGCCUCUGAGAGCUUGAACAUCUGGGUGAGCUGUGCUAAACUUAGAGUCUUGUAUGCGGGGGAGUAGGUCAAGAGGUAGGUUCUCAGAGCCUCCUCCUUGAUCUUAGCCUCGAGCAUCUCAAGAACACUCUCGUGCUUCCUGAGGAGCUUCCAGACAUGAAGGGAACUGAUGACCUUAAAGGCCUUUUCGAAGUCACCUUUGCUGAGGGCUCUGGUAGCUGCCAUUACAUGAUCCCUGACAUUUUCAGGGGGUCCUGUGAAUGUUUGCUUCUCAUUCAUUUCAAGAAACCGCCUGAACGUUUUGCUAAUCACUCUGUGUUUUGUAUCGGGGAUGUUAGCUGCCGUAUUAGGCACUUCUAGCAGCAUGGCACAUAUCAAAUGAGCUGCCUCCAGGAGCUCAGGGUUUAUGUGCAUAUGGUACGGCAUCUGCCGUCUUCUCUCCAGCCUUUCCUGAAAAAUAAAAACAGAAACAAAGAAACAAAAAGAUUAGGGGGGAUCAGUUCUAUAAAAUAGAGUUGAUAGCAAAUUAGACAAAGAGCAUUACUAUUAUCUACUAUAACUAAAUAAGUCGGCACAGAAAAUCUAAUUUAAGAUUUCUUAGGCUCCAAUCAAAAUGCUCUGUUUAUGGUUUCAGCUUUCCAGAAUAUGUUGUUUCCCUCGAAUGGCUUGUUUAACCAAUUUGCUUCAUCAAAUCCUUCGGUUUGUUUCUUAAGAAUCUUGAAGAUUAUGCUAAAUUGCAAUUUGACAAAGAGCAGCACUCUUAUCGUUUCAUAAUUGUAACACCGGAAACUAAGCUAAUCUUGUGGCAGGAAUCAAAUUUACAACUUGUGGAAUCAGUUAAAGAACAUUCAAAGUUUUGUGUUUCAAUGACUAUAGACAAACACAAAAGGCACAGAAGCAGAGAAAUGCAAUAUAUAUACUCCUUUGCAAGAACAACACGCAGCCAUUUUCCCAUCCAAUAGCUCAAAAAAGAAAUCAAUUCACACCUAAGGUAAGAACACAUCGGGAGUUUCCUUGGGAUCUAGUCUGACCAAACCAAAAGUAACACAUCUUACAAAAAAUAUUAGGUCACAUCUGCUUAAAUUUUUUUUUCAAAUGGGACAUAAGAACAUUAAUAUUGGUAAAUCUGUUUGACGACAUAUGACCUUCAGCUAGUUCUGGAUUAAUUAGUUAUCUGUUUAUGGGUUUUCCCCUUAGAGCCUGCUUGUGGAAUUUUGAUUAUAAAUCUAUACCAUCAGUGCGCCUAAUGAAUUCAGGUCGUAAAGAAAGUAUGAGGAAAACAUAGAGAAUAACUCUAUAGAAAAACAAAACAAAAGAAUUGGUACCUGUUCAGGAGUUUUCUCAUGAUAUCUACUUUGGGAGACACCUUGUGCAAGCAACUCCUUUACUCUUCCACCAGAAUAUAGCUCAGAAAGGCAGCUAUGCCCUUCAGGGAUCAGUCCGCUCCGAAAUGCACACAGACCAAGUUGUGCCAUUGCCCUAUUAAACAGUAUUUGGGUGGAAAUGUCCAUAUGCGAGAUACUAUCUUGCAGGUGACUCAUUAGCAUCAAGUCACGGGCAAUAGAGAACUCGUCCAGGAGAGCAUGGUGGUAAAUGUCACAAAGCAUUGCUCGAGCUUUCGUCCGGUCAUCUCCAUACUUAUAUAUGAGGGAAACUAGAAUAUCCAUCAAGGCCCUAAUACUCUCAGUAAAAGUAGGUUUCCGAGGAACGAGCUCAGGAGUUAAAACAAAUGCAGGUGGACCUCGACUUUCCUCAACUGAUUUAGGCUCCUGGCCUUCACCACCAGUUUCACCAUCUUCUGUCUGCUCUGCCAAUAUCUUCAUGGCAGCAUAAACUUCUUGCGGUUUAUAAUACACGAGCUCAACCCGCCUUAGGGCCACCUUUGCAGCAGCUUUAAACCUUCCAGCUUUCUCGAGAUACUCUUGAACAUUUUGAGCAAGAGUCAAAAACAUAGGUUCAUCUCUGAGUCUUUCAAUGUACUCACGGGUGUGAGGGUCAAUGCACUGCAAGCUCUUGAAGAACUCAGUAUCUAUCCUUUCCACAAAGGCCACCAAGUUUCCCCAGACUCUGAUUGUCUCGUUAUAAUCUGGUCCCUUCUGGGAUUCAUUCUCAUCAGGCUCAAUCAUGUCAUCCACCGUAAUGUUAGGAUAUUGCAUCAGAAUAUCAAGUAUAACAAGCAUAUUCUGCACACACUUUUUCCAUACAUUUAUAGGCAUGUGCCCACUGAGACCAGGGUUCACAUCAAACUGAGCAGAAACAAGACUGAAAAGAAUCUCAAGCUUCUGUGCUGGGGUCUUAGCAACCUUUGUCAAGAAGGUAAGCUGCUCAACCUGUUCAAACCUUCCAGUUCCCUUCCUGCCCCGAGCCGCCACAACCUCUUUGAAUUUCUUGUUAAUCAUAUCCCAUGUGAUCUCACUAGGGUCCCUCAUGAACUGCUUGUCCAUGAGCUUAUCCUUCUUACUCAUUUUCUUCACCCAACCAUCCUCGUUGUCCCCAUCACCUUCUUCCUCUUCUUCACCAUCUCCACUAACCGAAAGCGCAAUAUCUUUUGGAUCCUCAAUUUCAGAACCUGUCUCUUCAUUCUCACUUGUCUCAUCUUCUACCCCCCCUUCCUCCUCGCUCUGCUCCGGAUUCUCCCUGUACUUACUAAUCAAAUCCUCAUAGUGCUUAUUGUUCUUCUUCAGCUUCUGUUUCAUAGCGUUCAAGGCCUUGGCAUUGCUGCUACUCAUCUUCUUCUUAGCAUCCUUAUUUGCAAGAGCCUGAGCCAAAAAGUCCUCCAACAAAACAAGCGCUUUGAUGUACAGAGACGGUACUUUUUCAGACUCAGUCACACGCAUCACCUUCUCAAGCUGCUUGUUCAUCUUGUCAAAGCAGUCCUGCAUGCUCACCCAGUCAUUUAUGUUCUUUGCAUUCUUUAUUUUGUCAACAGUGGCAUUCAUCUCAUUGAAACGUUUGUCCUUCACGGAUCUAACAACACGCUUCUCAUCCUCAGAUUCAUCGUCGGGAAGCACAUUGGUGCGGUAUUUGUUGUCAAUCUGUUUGGAAGUCUCAACGCUUGUGGCUUCAGCCUCCUCAUCAUACUCACUAUCAGCAUCCUCCGAAUCACUACCAGUCUAAAAUGACACAUGAAAAUGUUAUUAAAAAAUAAAGAAAACAAGGAACUAGCACAUAACAUGCAUCUUAACAUUUCAUCAAAAUGUAGAAUCCAGGAGUUAAGAAGAAAAUUUGAUCCAACUACGGAGGUGAAGUACAAACCUGGUUCCAGAACUUCGAUUCCAUUCUGUCCUACAACAAACUGAAACAGGUCGAGAGAAAAUCACAAGAAUCUGUUUGGUUGAUUAUGCGAAACAGCUUCGAAAAUCAGCCUCAAAGUUUAUCUUCCUGUUCAUUACAAGCCAAACCCAAUUCAUGAAAAUUGAAAAAAACCAAAAAGCAAACAACUGAUUCGGAAACAAAAUCAACACACCAGACAUAAUUCUCAAAUUUACAUACUGUUUUAACACGUUACAUGAUUUAUUAUACAAAUUAAAUUAACCAAAACUCAUUAAAACAAUAACUAGAUUGCAAUUUCUUUUGUUCUUUUACUUAGGCCCUGAAAAAUCACUAUAUGAUAAGCAAACACAUUCAUCCAUCCAUGUAUAUAUAUAUAUAGAGAGAGACAGAGACAGAGACAGAGACAGAGGGAGAGGGAGAGAUUGAAAAUGAAUUGGAGGCUUACAAUGGACGAAGAGAGCUUCCAAGCUUUGGUAGCAGAUUGUAAGGCAGAGCUUGUUUGUGUUAUUUUAAUUGAUCAGAGACAGCAAAGAAUGCCGAGGGUUUGAUUGCUGGUUGAGAAACUCAAUAUAUAAAGGGAUUCGUUUGGAAUCUGCUUUUUUAUGAAACCGUUUUGUUUUUCACGUGAAAAUAGGAAAACCAAUCUCACCAAAAAUAAAAAAGGAAUGUUUUAUCUGAAAAGGAAAAAAGUUGUAUGCAAAGCGGUGAUUCUUUCUUUUUAUAAAUAAAUAAAUAAAUAAAUAAAUAAAAAGCAGUGAUUCUUUCUCGGACAAGUUUUUUUUUCCGUAGCCCCCAAGCAAGACUAGACCUCUCCAGCUAACAAAUUCCAUUACCGUAAACUACACAACUUGGUCCCCAAGCAAGACAUAAAUUAAUCGUAUCCAUUUUUUAUUUUCACAAGUGAUAGUGGGGGAAAAUCGGACCUAGGACCAGGCCCGGCUCAUAGGGUAUGUGGGUUAGGCGACAGCACAACGCCUCAAAAAAAUGAGGCCUCCUACAAAACCUUUUAGCCCAAGAGUUAUAGUAACAAAAAGGCCUUUUAUGUGUGUAACUCAUACUUUUUCGGCUUUAUUUCUUUUACUUUCAUACAUUGGGCCUAUUUUACAUAAACUAACAAACUUAGCACCUAAGCUUGAAACUUUUCAUUUUAACUUUUGUUCAAAAUAAGUUAAGUGUUGAACAUAAAAGACCUCAAACCUUAGCACCAUUGCUAUCUAAAUGGUGAAAUGGUAUCUAAGAUUGGUUUAUUUGGAUUGCAGAUUAUGUGGGCAAAGCUGUACAGGUAAUUCAUUUUUUCCUUACGUUACAUUUCAUGCUUUUGCAUAUUUCUGAAGGCAGUCAUAUAUUGGUGCCUAUUGGUGUUUUUUGACAGUUCCGAGUUAAGUUUUCUCCAAAUGUGAUCACUCUAUAUGUUACUCUUUCAUUUCUAUCUUUCAGAUAUAUAGAUGAAUUAUAUAUCAUAGUUACUAAACUCUAUUAUUGAUGUGUACAUGUACUUGCUACUGAAAGGAAUGUCGUCCCAGUCGAAACCACGAAACCUACAGGUUCAUCUGGGAUGGGGGAAAGGAGAGCUGAACAACUUGUCAUGCAAGCUAGGAAAGAUGAGAAUGACAAAGGAGUUGUAAGAGGGUGGAAAGUGGGAAGUGAGCGGAGAGGUGCUGCAACACUGUUAGAACAGAGGGGUGGUUUGCAAGAGGGCUAUUUAAAUAUCAGCCUAAGAAGAGAGUGAUGUUUUCUAAAGUGCAAGGUCCUUUCUUCAAGGUUGCUUGGCUUCUUCGUGAAAUGGCUAAGGAAUAAGUUGGGAUGGAUGCACUUCAAUUAUGAAUUAUAUUAUGUUGUUGUUGACAUUAUAGUUUGGACUUGUGUAGUUGAUGCUAACAAAAGACUAUGAGAACAUCUCUCGAUAUUGGCCUACACAUAAUGAGUAUGGGAGAAUCACAAUAGCACAAAGAGAAGGAAAUCAUGAUCUUCAUUCAUGAAAUAAUACAUGAUAUUUUUUUCUGCUUUGGGAGCAUUUGGAUGAAAAAUACUUAAUGACCGAACAAACUCUCCAAAUUUACGCUUGAUGUCAAACAAGUCAAACACCUGCAAUGAGAAUAUGCAAAUUGUUAGAAAAACAUCACAAAAUUUCCAGCAGAUCAAACUCAUCCAAAUUACAAACAUACAAUCCCACAUUUCCAUACAAAUACAAAUAAACUUUGAUUCCCAAUUGAUUAACACAUAUUAAACCAGGAUUUUCAAAAACUCUAAAAACAACAAAAAAGAAAAAACAAUUAGGCAUCAUUUGCCACCAUCUUCUUCUUCUACUCCCUGUUUUUGUCAUGAGAGAUAUGAACCCAUUAAAGUCAAAAGCCAUGACUCAUGAGAGAUAUGAACCCAUAUAUAUAAGCUCCCAUUAACCCAAUAUUCUUUCAAUUUCAAAUGAGUAAGGUACAAAAAUACUCUUAAAGUAAAACAAAAUUUAAUGUAUUUAUACUUGUUUCAUGUAAAGUUAAAACUCGAUAAAUGCACAUAUUACCAAAUGCAAUUAGCAAAGCUGCAAAUAAAGAAAUUAUAAAAACCAAAACUACAUGGCUUGUAUGCUAUUGAACCUGCAAUUAUGCGUCGAUUUUGUUGAAUAUGCAGUUAGGGAAGAAACUAGAAAAUAGGUAGCUGACCAUAUCCAAAUGAUCAAGCCACACUUCGCUAAGUAUGAGGUCAUACACAGCCUCUACACCAAACGAAAAAAAUAAUUAAUUGCAAUUUGAAAUAAUAAUAAAAUUGAAUCAACAUUAAGUUCUUACCAAAGAAUUGUGUUCCCAGCAUUUCUGCCACAUGAGAAAUGCAACUGGACACCAAUUUUCGUACUUGCAGUUCCCGCUUCCAAUUGUAACUAGAAGAAGUCCAACUUUUUUGGAAAGUUGUUCCCAUGGAUUUUGUAACAGAGGUCCGUGAACAUCUUAUCAUCUCCCAAAAUGACACGAGCAGAGUGAGGCAGACCGGGACAUCCCAAUAGUGUCCUCACGUUCCUCAUCCAUACCCCAUGAAGAGUAAUAUUUAGGUUAUCUUUUUAUAAAACCUCAAAACAUGGAGCAUGACACUAAUAAUUGAAGGAAGUUGAGGUUCCACCCCGAAACCAAUUGGCAAUGGGGAGGAGUAGCCCAACUCCUUAUAAACCCAGGCUAGGUCCCUUAACAUUUCAAUGUGAGACAAACACUCUCAACACGCCCCCACACGUGUGGCGAACUUUCAAGCCUAACACGUGGACAACACAUAUUGGGUGACGUGGGAGCACGUGUGGCCGUUGGGCCCAACACGUGAAGCCUUGCUCUGAUACCAUGAAGGAAGUUGAGGUUCCACCCCGAAACCAAUUGGCAAUGGGGGGGAGUAGCCCAACUCCUUAUAAACCCAGGCUAGGUCCCUUAACAUUUCAAUGUGAGACAAACACUCUCAACAAUAAUAUCGCUGCAACAUUAAAAAAUGAAUACGAAUAAAUAAAAAUGAAAAACAACAUACUGCAGUAAAAUAAAUGAAUACGAAUAAAAAGAAUUGAAAAUUAUUAUACCUGUAUAUCGUACGCAGCUCCAGGACGAUAUAUUAGCUAUAUGGAUCCAUCAACUCAUAUGUAUUAUCUACCCAAUAUCCAAAACAGCAGUCUAUUGAUUCGAAAGAGACAAGUGUACUGCAAUCGAAAAACCUUUAGAAGAGAUUAACCGGCACCACGUAACGGGAGUCAAAACGCAACAAUAACAAACACCAUUCAUCUACAACUGAAUCAGCGUUAUGAAAACAAUGUAUACACCAUGAAUGGUGUUUGUUAUCGUCGCUAUGUGACUCCCGUUACGUGCUGCCCGUUAAUCUUAUCCAAAGGUUUCACGAUUGCAAUACGCUUGUCUCUUUCGAUGCUGCCUCGGAUAUUGAGUGGAUAAUACAUAAUAUUAACAAAAUAUAUAUAUAUUAGGAGAUUAAACUUAAUAAAACAAAAAUUAUAAAAUACUUACCUCGUUAGUACGAUUUUCCCCGCUUCUAUAGUUGUCCAUCACUUUUGCCAGGGCAUCUCUCCAUUUUCCUAACUCUUUAUUGAGAAUUUUCCACCUACUAAAUAAUGUCAUCUCCGUACGAGUAGACCCCGGAAUUUUUUCACAAAAGGAAACAUCUUCCAUGGUGCUCCAAGCCCCUCCGGUUUCAAUAGAGAAGCCAUAAAAAUAUGAAAUAAAAAUACAAGGUGAAAAAGAGGAAAAUGUUGAGUAAAAAGUGAAUAAUAGUAGAAGUAUAAUGAAAUGUAUGAGGAUUGGUGUUGAAAAUGAAGGAUAUUGAUAGGUAUUUAUAGAAGAAAAAAAAUCAGAAUUUUUAAAAAAAAAUUUCGAUUUUUUUCAUAAUUUUAUUGCCCAAAAAAUGCCCGCCGUUGGAUUGGAUUCGGAGAAGCUGAUCAGAGUGCUGAGGGCGCGACACGUGGCUUCUUCCUGUUGGAGCUGAUGUCAGCGUGCGCUGGUUCAAAUUUUUUUUACCGUUGGCGCGUUUCAUAAUUUUAUUGCCCAAAAAAUGCAAGCCGUUGGAUUGGAUUCGAAGAAGCUAAUCGGAACGCUGGGGGCGCGACACGUGGCUUCUUCCCGUUGAACGAGCUUGCUGACGUCACAACUCACGGGCUUCACCUCGGGUUGAACUGGCCUUCAGGCUGGCCCGAGUUGGUGGGACCCACUCCUAGCCCUGGCUUGGGCUCACCGCUGGAACGAAAUUUUUUUUUUCCCCCUCAGCCUUGGGCUCAGCUCCUGGUUGGACUUGCUCUUAGAGCAUUUCCAGUGGUCGGGUUUUGAGGAGGGCUUGGGGGUGUUUGGGCUAAAAACACAUUUCCAGCAGCAAAGGGAGGCCCGGGCGCGAGGUGGGACCUAGCAACUCGGGUUGGCCCGAGGGCAGGGCUGGCCUGAGCUUCAACCCGAGGUUUGAGCUGACGUCAGCGUGCCUAUACAAUGUCCUCAUUCACGUGGCGCGCGCUGGGCUCUCCGAUUAGAUUUUUUUUCUCUAUACCUCAUUUUCAUUUUCAACAUUUAAGUAAAUGUCUUUGUCCUUUUACUUUCAUUUAUUUUUAUAUUAUUCCAUUUACUUAAAUUUACAAUGUAAAUAAGGAAGUACCCCCCAUUUGGAUUCAAAUAAAAAUAUUAGAAAAUCAAAUUCCCAUCAAAUCAAAAUAUGAAAAAAUCAGUUUUAGUGCAAAAUAUGAUUUAUGCUACAAAUGAUGGCUCAUUAAGUCAAUAUAUACUUCAUACUAAAAUCCCAUAAAAUCAAGUUUUCUUAUUUGAUGUGUAAGGAAUAAAAGUCGCCAAAAAUUAUCUUGAGAAAAUGAUUAUUCUGAAAAACCAUUUUUCAUAUUGAGUCAAUAUUGCACCUCCGCUAAAAAAAUUUUGGGUCCGCCAGUGUCUAUAAAUACCAACCAAUACUCUUCACUUUUAACACCAAAUCCUCAUACAUUUUUUUUUUCUAUAAAUACCAACCAAUACAACUAAUAAAAUAAAAUACAACUAAUAAAAAAAAUCUUAUCGAAAAAUAUUAUCCAAAUUAAUUGUUUAUGUAAAAACAAAGUUGUGAAAAAAAAUAAAAAAAUGAAUAGUAUUUGCCAUGACAAAGGGUAAUUGCUGAAAACACACAUUGCUUAAUAUAGCAAGGGUAGCUACUAUUCACGUGAAUAGUAGCUGCCAUGGCCAUGACAAGGGGCAAACUGCUGGAAAGUGCUCUUAGAGGAGAGGCUUAACUAAAAUGCAAAUUUUUUUAAAAAAAUUGUCACGGUUUGCGAUAACCGCUAUUUUCCAAAAUCAAAUACCGUAAUGACAACAGCAAUUGCAGUUCGGUUACUAAAAUCGUAAUUUUCGAUCAGUUUUCAGUUAUUGCGGUUCCAAUACGGUACAAUGUCGGUUAAUUUUUGUGAUUUUUGAGUCUAAAAUGCCACCCCUACAUAUACCUGUAAUUCGGCCGGAUUGGAUCGAAAAUAGUCAUUCCAAUAUCCGUCCAAAAUCCUUCGGAAUUCAAUAAACUCUUCCGAUUCCGAUUCCAAAAAAUUCCGGAAAAAUUCAGAACUUUCUGAUUCUGAAGUUUUGAAUUCUUCAUAAUAUAAUCAUACUUCCUUUCUCAAAUCCUAGACCCAAAAAUGGAACAUCCCGCUGCUUCGUUCUUUCUCUUUUUGCCUUCUGUGAGACCCACUCCGAUGCGGACGUCAUAGCCUCCACCACAGUCAAACCUACCACAGCCUCCAUCCACCAUCCACCAUUCCCCCACCUAAUAACUCAGCAUUUUCACACAAUAUGAAUUCAACAUCUCCAAAGACAGAGCACAAGUAUCACUGUCAAACAGAACACAAUUAAACCCAAUCACUUAACCAACCAAUCGAACCCAAACAAGAAUAAGGAGAGUGAAGGAAGAAGAAGAGAUAGAGGAGCCAUGGAAGAGAGAGAGGGAAGAGAAAAAAAAAAAAAAAAAAAAAAAAAAAGGGUGCGGCGGCUGCAAAUGGAAAAAGAAAAAGAAAAAAAGAUGUGUUACUAGGGUAAGAACGUGAGUGUUGGAAGAGAGAGAGGGGGAAAAUAAACAAAUGAGGGUAAGUGGGAAAUUGAGAAAUUAAAUAAAGAAAAUAAAGAGGGAUAGAUAAGUGGGAGAUGGAACAUUUCCUUUUUUUUACUUUUAAUUUUAUUUAUUUAGCUCUGUACUUUUGUUUUUAAUUUCUGAUAAUAAUAAAAAAAGGUUUUUAAUUUUAAUAUAUAUUAAUAUAUACAUAUAUAUAUAUAUAUAUAUAUAAAAGACAGAGAAUGUGUGCAAGGAAGCUUAAGUUAGACUUUUGAAUUCUUUAUUUUUUAUUUUUUUUCAUUAUUGUGCUAAUUUUGACGUACAUGGGUUUAGAAUCUCUUCUUCCAAAUGAAGCCUUACAAGAGGGUGUACAUAUAACACGUAUCUAAAGUGGUGGAAAUAUGAAUGGGAGGUUGAGUUGUGUACAUGAUGGAAAUUUUAAAAAUAACAUAAUGGAUUAAAAGUUUACAAAAGGAACUAAUACUAUUUGUUCAUUCAAUAUCUUAAUAUGUUAGUCUUGCUCUAUACAAUUGGAAUACUAUAAUUGUCAAGCUCUAAUGAAUAUAUUUAUAUUAUAUGUGGUGUUUCAUGUAAUUAAAGUUUAAAUGAGCACGAGUCUUUGUGUCCAGUUUAAAAACUGUGCUCUAUGUACACGAAAUUGGCACAAUUGUUUGUGUUUUAUAUGAAAAGAGCACAUAUAAGACUUAUUUGUGCUUAAUAUUAGGAAGACGGGCACAAUACUGUAUUUGUGUUCUUAUGUUCGUGCUUGUUGACCAGUUUUGUAGUAGUGUGUGCAAGGGGUGAAUGUGAAUUUUGGGAAUGGGCUGGAUGUGCGAGCGAUCAAAGCAAAUAAUACCCGGUUUGCUGCGGAAGAUCAAUCACUUGGAAGAAGAAACAAAAAAAAUAUGAGAAACAUAAGGGGGAAAACCCAUGGUUUUGGGUGUCGUUUGCUUUUUUCUUGAUCAUUUGGUUGGUUUGUGCCAAAGAAAAUGGCAAUUAUGGUAGUGGAGUUUUAGUAAAAUCAGUGUCUUCAAAUUGGUUAAAAUUUUGAGUUACAGUACAUCCACAAAUGUUCACAUUAGCCAUUAUCAAAAAAUAAUUAUUACAAAGACUUAACUAGUCAUUGGGUGACAUUCUUUACUCACUAAUCACUAAUCAUCCCACUAAGCCUAUCACAAUUGGUCAGACUUCUCCCAGACCCAGGUUAAGUUUUCUGGUCCAACUUUAUGUUGAAAACAUGGUCUGAAAUUAGAUAGCAAAAGACAACAGAACGAACAACUAGAAAGAAGAAUUUAUAUCAAAACUGCUUUUUUUUUUCCUCUUCGUGUAACCAUAUACAUUAUAUAUUCAUACAAAUUGUAUGAAUUCUCUCUAUAUACACUUAUCUGCUUUUUUUCUUGUAAACAAUGUACACCAUAUACACCCAUCUGUUUCGUUUGGCAUCCCAGACAAAACAGAUAAAAUUCUCUACAGCAUUUACAUGAUCUUCAACGAAUGGUGUAUAAAUGAGCAAAUGGCAACGGAUUUUCUUUUCGUGCAGGUUUUGAAACUCCAGGAAUCCCAAACACAUUCCAAGUUCGAACUGUCUCAUCCGCGGCUGCAGUGGCCACAGUGCAUCCAUCUGGGCUCUGAAAAUAUAAACAACAGAAGUUACAAACAAUUAGAAUAUGUAACUACCAUAAGAAGUUGCCAUGAAAAAUUAUUCCAAAUGAAAAUCAAUCCAUGAAAUCAAAUACACAAACAGAAUUGAAUUCACAAAGUGCAAAUUAAAGUCCAAAUUAGUACCUGAGUCAUGAAGAGAACUCUGGAGGUAUGGCCAGUGAGCUCUGCCAUCCUCACCAUUGACGGGUACUUCCAAAGGAUAAGCUCAUUCUUGCUAAAACCAUGACAACUAAGCAAUUCACGCUCAUAAUUGUUCCACAAAAGACCACACACCUGCGAGCCAGUGUCAACCGAGCUCAAGCACGAGCCUGUUUGUGUGUUCCAUAUCUUAAUGCACCGGUCAAGUUCACCACCACCAGAGGCCAACAAAUUCUCUUGAAAUGGACACCAAGCAAGGGCCUUGACUGCUGCAGUGUGGUCUUCAAGCCUUUGAAGCCACUGUCUUGGUGAAUUGGAAGAGGCUGUUGACCUGUCCCAUAUGAAGAGAACAUUAUCGUUCCCUCCACUAGCUAAAUGCUGGCCUGAGGGUGACCAUUUUAAUCCACAGAUCUCGGCCUCAUGACCUUUGUAGGUUCCAACAAUGUGGGAUCUCACUCUUACAUCGUUGUUUAUAAUUCUACCAUCCAUUCCUCCUGUAGUAAGAAUGCGUUUGUUCCAGGCCAGUGAACCUACUCUUCCAUGGUGACCACCUCUCAAUGUUCUUAUCUGCAGUAACAAAAUCAGCAGUAGAUUAGUAUUAGAACCAAGGUUUCAUUUUCUAAGGAAAACAACCAACAAUAAUAAGCAACAACAAUGUUCUUACCAGUCUAACAGAGACAGAAUCCCAUAACUGGACCCAGGAAUUGUCCAAGCCGACGGCAAUAUGUUGCCCAUCAAGAGCCCAGCUGAUGCUUGUAACGGGACCAUCUUCAUCAUCAAUUGUGACGAGUUUUAUAAUGGAAUGGUUAGAAGGAUUCCAUAGGUACACUGAGUUUUCAAGAGCAAUUGCAAGAAUGUUGCUGCUGCUCCAGUCUAGUAAAUUCGAGUAGAAAUUAUCUACAACACCGGGAGCGUCCAUUGUUUUCUCUGGACCCUGCAAAAUCAAUUUGGAAGAAUUAGAACAUAAUCCACAAAGCAAAAUCAAUAUGAUCAUCAUUACAGACACAAUCCUAAGCACAAUUAGAUUCAAGUAUGAUGAUAUUAAUGCAAUUAUUAUACCUGAGGAACCCGUCGAGAGGGCUUGGUAGAUUUGGCCUUAUGAAGAGGGGGUGAAAGCAAUCUCCUCGGAAUGGCUUCAACUGGGGUGGGGGGCUUGUUCUUGAAUGUGAAGAUUCGUCCUCUGUUCAUGUUGAAGGUCUCAGUCAGUAGCUUCUGGUAUGGAGUGCUUGCAGCCUCCGGGUUCUCGAUUCCCUUUCUCCCUCCUCUGACCAUGUAAUGCGCGUAAUCAAGGUCCAGUGCCGCCCGAUUGGGUAUAAACCUAUCCAACUGUAAAUGCCAAACAGAUUUUAUUAGCCAGAAGAAAACCAAAAACCAGAAGCGUUAAUAAAGCUCUGUUUGGUUUCAAAGAAAAUGCCAGAAAAGUGAGAAUCUCUCAGACUUAGUGUAUCCUUAAACAGAACAUGUGAUUGGACAACUAGCUUAACUUUGUGAGUUUGAAAAACAAAAAACCCAGAAUUGUGUUUUGCUUGCGCUUGUUUUUCCUAAGUAAUCAAACAUAACGAUUCAACGCAAUUCUUUAACAAAUAAAAACCCUAGAAUUCCAAACGGACAGAUAAUCAAAAUACAACUAAAAUUCAAAAAAAACCCAGAAAAGAUUCACUUACAUUUUCCCAAUUAGGCUUUCUCAUAAGGAAGUUUUGUUCUCCAAGAGGGUUCCUGGUGUUCCUCGAUGAACUCAUUUUCCUUGUAUCGCUGUGCGUGAAAACGAAGCUGAGGCAAAUUGAAUGCGUGAAAACGAAGCUAAAGCAAAUUGAAGGAAACUGAAUGAAAGUGGGUUUCAACUACAGACUUGGAUUUAAAUAGGCAUCGACCGGAGUACAGUUGUAAAUUUUUGUUUCACGAAAAUCCUUGUCCUGCAAGGAAAACCCUCGAGCGGACCCCAGCUGGUCAGCUCCUUUAAACAAAAAUUCUUGAUUUUCCAAAUUUACCCUUGCAUUUUUUAGAUUUAUUUUAUUUUCACCAAGGUUUUUUUUUUAUACGAAAUUUUCACCAAGGUUACAAUUUAAAAGUAUAUGUCAUUUUACACUUUUCUCAUCUUAUUAAAAAAAUAAAUCUGGUGUCACGUAUUUUUUUUUCAACUUACAAACUUUGUUAUCACACACUAUUAAAGUGACAUGAAAAUUUGAACCUAAGAUUAAUCUACAUGUCAAGACAAUUUUUUACUGAAUUAAACUCCUUUAAUGGGUGAAACUUUCAUAAUCUCAUAAAUCCCACUUAGUUAAUAAAAAUGUUAAAAGAGAACACAUUUUAUUACAGAAAGAUAAAUUAGUACAUUCACAAUGUGUUGAAUUGAAUACACCCAUAAAUUAAAUUAAAUAAAAAAGACCAUAUUUUGCACUUGCCCAUAAAAGAGUUAUAAAACUCCAAAGCUGUAAAGCAUUUUAGAUAUUUUUUUUUAAUAAAAGUUAUGAAACUCUGUUUUUCAAUAACAUUUAUGUGGUUUAUGAGUAUGGAACUUGAAUUGUUUUGCAUGGUAAUAGAAAUACAUUUUUUGUGCUAUUUUCAAUUUUCAAUUUAUCUUUUAUAAAUUGUUCAAAACUUUAAUGGCCCAAACUUUAUAAUUCCUUGGAACCAAAAAAAAAUUUCAAAAUUCAUAUUUGAUACAACCAUUGUUGUAAAUGAUGGAUGACCCACAUGUUGAAAACGUAGAGUAACAUUGAGUGAAAUACUAUGUUUUACGGAAAGUUGAUGACUUGUAGGCUUAGUCACUAUUUACAAAUAAUAAGAAGCAAUUAUGAGUUAAUGUUGUAGAGUGAAUGCUCUGAUUGUGAAGCAUAUAUCAUCUGCCUAUAAAUAGAGGCAAUCUUCAGACUUUGAGAGACACAAAUCCGAAGAGAAAGAGAGAGAGAAAUCUAAGAGUUGGAAAGCUUUAUUCGAGAGAGAAAAUUCUAUCAGUGUAACACCACAAGAGCAAAUACAAUCACACCCAAUAUUCAGUGAUACUUUCAUACUCGGCCUAUUUUAUAACAACCAAUUGAUUUUAAAAUUUGUGUUAAAAAAAAAAACUAUGAGAAAAAAAGAGUCCUGUUGUGAAGCGGACAAGAAACACACUGCCUAAAACGCUAUAUAAAUAGAGAAGAUUCAAAUGUCUCGUAUAUAGAAUUCUCUCUCUUUUUGUUGUUGUCCCAGUUAUAGACCAAUCAAUUAUUCAAUUGCCAAAACCCUAAUCAUAUCGGUUCCUUUUCGGGUUUGGUGUGUUAUGUUUUCCUGCUUUGUAUAUAAUCACAGUUUUAUAAGAAAAAAAAAUUUAUACACCUGUUCUUUCGUUUGAUUUAAAUAUGGUAGUUCCAUUAAACUAAAACAACAAAAAUACAUUAACUAUGAAACAUUAAAAAAAUAAAAAUAAAAACCAUCAAACUAUAAGAAUUAAGCUUUUUUUUGAAGAAAGUGUCGAAUUAAUUAGAUAAGGAGAAUGCUAGCAACUUUCUCUGUAAUCCUCUCCUUUUUCCUUAUGACAUGUGUCACUUUUUCUACACUUUGUUAGAGAGAAGAUUGCUAGCAUUUCCCAUUAAAUAAAUGUUGUUCCAAAGCAAAUUAAUAAUUUUUAAUGUUAAUGUGUGAUUUUUAUUUGGGCCUUCAAUUUUUAAACUCUUAAGAAAUUCAUUGUAAUAUGGGCCUGACCAAUUACACAUAAUAUAUUCGAGGCCCAGGCUCAGGGUUGGCCCUGAUGCAAUUACCAUAGAAAAAUCUAGAGGCUUAGGACAUUAUAUUGUGUAAAUGCAAUCAUUAACAUUCUUAAUACAGGCGUAUAACCAAUUUAAAACAAAAGAGAGUAUUUUCAAAAACAAAAGAGAGUAUUUUCAAGAACAAAAGGACACCAAUGUUUUUCUUUUUGUUCUCUAAAAACUAACCAUGGCACUAAUGCUAAUGUUAACCUAGGAAUUCCCAUUUCAGCCCCAUUAAGGCGAUAAAUGGGGUUUCCUGUGUUGCUUUUACUUUGAAGAAUCUACCAUUUCAUUUCGCUUCCUAAUAUCAGAGAAGUCUUUGACAAAUAAGUUGCCCAUCAAACAGAAACAAAGAGCCCAAUUCUUAAGGGGUGAAAUUCUACAGAGUAGAUUGCCCCCAAUUGUUUAGCCCUCAUAUAGCCUCUCUUUUCCUCUGUCACACAGAUUCAUUUACUUUGGUUAAUACAUAUCUCAAGGGAAAGCAUCACAAAUAAAACAGGGAGGGGGGAGAGAGAGAGAGAGAGAGAGAGAGAGAGAGAGAGAGAGAAUUAUGUAUGUAACACAGUAAUAAUUAUGUCCACAAUAACCAACUUAGAACAAGAAGCUUUUUUGCCAUGUGUUCGAAUUUAUCAACAAAGACAUGCAACUCAAAUGCUUUCAAGUAUCAAGACUCAAUAAAAGCCCGAACAAAAGAGUUUGCCUAAACCGAAAAUACGAUUUAAAGACUGCCACCCCGUAGUGCAAGCACCAGAUGAAGGACAGAGCCCCCCUCAAUGUUGUAGUCUUUAGCUGUUUUGUCAUCUCCAAGCUGCUUGCCAGCGUAGAUAAGCCUGCAAACAGUGUAAAAUAAAUUAGAUAUUUGAAUCAAAUAUUACAUUACAAAUCAUUAAACAUCAAAAACAUCUCCUGACUUGUUUAGUUGGCCAUUAAACAUGUGGCCAAACAAUACCUUAAUAGGAGCUGUCAAGUAUAAAAUUAAUAAAAAUAACAAUGUUGCAGAUGCUGAGCCAUUUCAAAUAACAUGAGCUAAGAAGACAAACAAUAAGAGCUAUGUAAGAUUCAAUAACAAGAAGGCCGUGCCAUUUCUAAUAACAUGACCUAUGAAGACAAACAAUAAGAGCUAUGUAAGAUUCAAUAACAAGAAGGCCGUGCCAUUUCAAAUCCCCAAGAUUUUGAACCAUCUCUCACAAAAAAUUCAAAACACAUGUUGAAUCACACAAGAAGACAAUAUCCAAUUCAAACUAGAAGCAACUAAAAUAUCCCAAAUAGGAGUAUAAACAAAAGUUAUAUGUUGACAACCUAUUAUUUUGAACAAUCUCACCCACUGGAAAAGAAAUUCUCAGUGCUAUAGAGAUAGAGAGCGUAAUUCAUGAAUCAAAGCCUUUUAGAAGUAAAGAAAUAAUGAGUCGGUGAAACAUCCAACACUAAAAAGACAAAAUGGGCCAAUGGGUUCCCACCACAGUGGUGGUGGAUUCCCCCUCCCCCCAUGGCACCCAGUAUCAAACCCCAAUAGGGUUUUCUUUCCUCCAGUGAUACCAAAAAAAAAGGGCACUAAGUUCAUGCAUACUCACCGCCCAAUUGUAAUGCAAACACACAUAGCUAGAUCAAGGGAAAAGCAAUAAUCUCAGUACAUCAAUUUUUUAAUUCAUCAAAUUUACUCUAGUCAUAAGAAAUUCCAUGACCACAUGCAGCAAAACCCAAAUUAUAUUAUAUUUACCUGAAAAAUGGCAUGAUAUAUAAAUACACCGUGAAGUGAAAUGAUUAACAUCUAAUAUAUACUGAUGAAAAGACGAUGAAAACUCAGAAAUAACUUGAGUUCAAGCAACACAUUAUUUUAGUGAAAUAAAAUAUAAUAAUAAAAGAAAAUAUACCUUUGUUGCACUGGAGGAAUUCCCUCUUUCUCCUCAACCCUUUCCUUGAUCCGGUCAAUGGUAUCAUUUGGUUCAAUAUCAAUCUCAAUUUCUUUCCCAGUAAGAGUCUUCACCUUAAUCAUAGUUCCUCCCCUCAGCCUCAAAACCAGGUGAAGCGUUGACUCCUUCUGGAUGUUAUAAUCUGCAAGAGUUCGGCCAUCCUCCAAUUGCUUACCAGCAAAAAUCAAUCUCUGCUGAUCAGGAGGGAUGCCUUCCUUAUCCUGAAACCAAAUAUCUAUGAGUUACCAUGCAAUUCCAUGACAAAAAAGAAUAAUAAAUCUCUUUGAUGCAUAUAAAUGUAAAGGGAAGGAAAGAAAAAUUGCAAAAAGAAAAGUACAUAUCAAAGACCGAAACAUCAUAUGAUUUCCGGAUUUUAAAUCCAAUUCGCUUACAAAUUUCUACUAAGCUGUCUGGGUGAUUAAGGUAUUUUUCCAUGAUGCCGUAAAAAUACAUAAUUGAUUAGCUCUUCGUGAUGAAAAGUUGUUCUUUAAUAGAUAAAUCUACAGUUCAUUAGUAUCAGUUCAAGACAGAGGACACUCUGCAAGUCUGCUUAUAUGGAUUUCUUGUACUGCAGAAUGGUAAUGAUAGUAACAGAAUUAUGCAAUAACCUUACAGAAACAAUCUCAUUUCACAAAACUAAAGUCAUAAAGGCUUAAUCAUACAAUUAGGAACGAAAAGUUCUAUGGGAAAGACGGAACACAAAUAAACAAGAACUACUCAACCCAUUGGAUGACAGCAAAGGCCUAGUUUUUUGCAAAAUCUUCAGUUGUAUUUUUACUUGCCAAGAACAAUAAAACUAAACAAACUCAGAAAAUCAAUAAAUUUUGUACUCAAUAAAAUCCAGUGCACCAACAGCUCAAAUUAGAAACCCUAACCCUCGCUAUAGAAUUGUUCCAACAUAUAUAUACACACACAAUCACAAACUCUGAUACAAAUAUUAACCAAACCGAAUAACAAAAUCAUAAUACAAUAACAACCAAAUCUUAACUAGAAACCGAAACCCUAAUUAUAUCGCGAAGAAACGCUUCCAUAAAAUAAAGUUGUUCCUUUAAAUGAAUCAAAUAAAUACAUGAGACGAAAACUCAAAUUAGAGAGAAAUACAGUACCUGGAUCUUGGCUUUGACAUUGUCGAUGGUGUCGCUGCUCUCAACCUCAAGAGUGAUGGUCUUCCCAGUUAGGGUUUUCACGAAAAUCUGCAUGUUCUCUUUGGUUUUUGGUCUCACGGAGGAGGAGGGAGAGAGAGAGAGAUGUUUGAUGAUUUUGACUUGGAAAUCAAAGGGAAUAAGGGCUUUCCUUUUUCCAAGCAAAAAGUGGAAUAUAUAUGUAACCAAAAAAAAAAAAUAUCCUGAAUUCGAGUGUGAUUUGGAAAAUGAGAAAGUGUGGACCCCACGUUUGAGAUUCUCCACUUUCCAUUGGUGUUGAAUUAGGUGGUUCCAGCUUUUUCAGGCUGUAUUCAAUUGGAAUUUUCACAAUUUUUUAAAAAGUUUAAAAAUUCAGAGAUAUUCAAUCAAGAUUUUUAAAGAAGUGUAAUAAAAUAUUUGUUCUAAACUAGUGAUUUUUAUAAAGUUGAUAAAUUCUUAAAUAUUUUUAUAGAGUUUAUAGAAAUUACUAAUAAAUCGACAAGGGAUUUAGAUAUUUUGUUUGUUUUUUAUCUAUAAUGAUCUGCUUGACUUUUCUUUUGAUACGUUACCUCAUUAAAAUUUAAUCUAAAGGACUUUAAGUUGACACGUUAUCUUUAAAAUACAACCCAAUUUUCUCAUAAUUAAAAAAGGAAAAAAAAUCCUAAUUGAACUAAUAGGAACUUAACACCAUUAAACUGUUACGGAUGCAAUAGUGGGUGUGGCCUCGAAGGCGCUUCAUCAGGUGGUGAUGGUAGGGUCCGUCUAGGCUCAUGAGUUAUUUUAGGAUUUGGUUAUGUUGAGUUUGUGGCCUUUGUUUGGGCUUACGAUUAAUUGUGGUGAUUUGGGCUAGUAAUUUCAGUGCGGCUUUUGUCCGCGUUAGUUGUGUUUUUAGCAUAUUAGUUUGUUGCCCUCUUGGGAUUGGUACGUUAGAUGUCUUGUUGAUGUCUUUGAUUGUACCGUUAAAGUUUAUCUAAUGAAGUUUCUAUUUGAUAAAGGGGUAUGAUUUCCUCACUCCCAUUUUCUCCACUUACACUCCCUUUUGCUUUUUAAUACUUUUUAAUCAAUUUUAUUCUUUCUCUUUCCUAUUCUACCCUUACCCUACAUUAAUUUCAUUUUACUUCACUUUUAUAUUAGUUCUUUUUCUUUAUACUUAAUUUUCCAACUUGCACUCCAUUUUUAAUAUUUUUUUUUCCUUUAAUCGAGUAAGAAAUUAACUUUUUUUUCUCCCUAUAAUACUAAAAAUGGAGUGUAAGUUGAAAAAUUAAGUAUAAAGAAAAAGAAAUAAUAUAAAAGUUCAGUAAAAAAGAAAUUAAUGUAGGAUAAGGAUAGAAUAGGAAAGAGAAAUAACAAAACUGAUUAAAAAGUAUUAAAAAGCAAAAAUGAGUGUAAGUAGAGAAAAAAGAAGUGGGAAAAUCAGCGCCCAUUUAUUUUCAAGAAAUAUAAUAUAUUUUCAUAAAUAGCACUCUCUUUUUUCGGUCACUCUUAUGACAUAAUUGAUCACGGAUGGAUAAGAUUGUAUGAAAAUGGAGGAGAGAGAAAGAGGAGGGUUCCAAGAAAUAUAUCACAUUUUAGAAUACCUGUGCCUAUACGUACAACACAUUCUGAAUACCGAAGAAACAAAAGGCAAAAAGAGAGAAUGCUGAAUGCAUGUAUCGAUUUUAAGAAGAAAUCUUCAGUUUAAUUCUUUGCUUGGAGGGAAGCAAGAUCCAGGAGGCUGAUUUGCAGAAACAAGGAUAUGAGAAAUAUAUAACUUGCUGUCUCAAAAACUAUUUCUAGUUUUAUUUGUAAGAAGCAAGUUAGUAAAUAAAGAAAAAAAAUAUGUAGGGUUCUGUAAGUCUGCAUCUGCGAAGCCAUGUUAACAAGCUUCUGCAUAUUCUUUGCCUGUGACAUGACUACGUUUCUUUCGGUAUGGAACCCGUGAAUCUAAAUCAAUGGGUCAGGCCAGCGUAAGAAAAAGCACUUAAGCGCUGUAAAAGAUCUCUUUCUGAAGAGCUGUUGAGUCCAAACUCUACAAAAAAAGUUCUAAAAGAAUGCAAAAACAAUUCCUAUAUCAUCUUCUCUAUCAAAACAUGAAAUAAUUGCUACAGAUGAUCCUUUGAUCUAAUAUGUAGCAGUCAGCCUAUGGUGUUGUGUCUCUUGCUCUUCCGAGGGCCAAGGGGACUUUUCCCUGCAGUUCUCUCUGUACUUAAAGGAGAUGGAAGCAAGGGCCGGGGACUUCUUCCAGGUCUUCUUGGUGACAAGUUGGCUUGCUCUAAAACUCGGAACUGAAGCUCCGAAGGAUAGUCCCUCAUGCAACCAAUCCGCGGACCAGCUCCUGUUGUCCACCUACUGGUUAAUUGCUGAGCCAACUGAUAUGACUUCAUUCCUUUAUGUGAAUCAAUCCUUUGCAUGAUUUUCUCUUUUGGCACUGGCUUUUCGUCUUCUUCAAAUUCAUCGUCUUCAAACAAGUUUAGUUUAGGGAUCAUGAAAUCUUCCUCUGUUAAGAGUGAUUCUUCAGCUGUCUCAUAACCAUCGUCGGAAGCAGAAUCUGGAAAAUAUUCGCGACAAGUUAUUGGUAUUCCCUCCUUGAGAAUGUCAAACGCAUCAUUUCUUUGUGGUAUUUCAAGUUUGGCUAUCUUUGAGCAGAAUCUUUCAGGCAAUCUUAACAGAAUAGGAUUAGCAUUUUCUACAGGGUUAGAGUCCUCAUUGCUUGGAUCAGUGCUAUCUUGCCCUGAGCCUUCAGCAUUAGUUGUUCCAGUAUCUUUAGAUGGAUUUGGUUUUUUGGGACUGUUUCGAAUUCCAAUGUUGCUGCUCUUUUUGCUGAGGCCUCCUUCUUCAUCAUCAGCUGCACUUCUCUGAAAAUUGAAAGAAAGGUACAUUAUUACUAGGUCAAUUGUACAUUACUAUUUCUUUAAUGGAAACAGUAUCUACUAUGAAUCAUGGGAACAUUAUGUUUCAUAUAGUAUAGGGAAGAGUUUUUGCUAGCUACAAGGGUGCAUUUGUGUCUGAGGAUCUCAUCUCAGAGCAUUAAUUUAUGGAAAAACCCCGAUACGUGGGAAAUAUAGAUUUCGAUCAGCUCUGUCCAGUUAAUAAUAUCCUAUCAUGUCAUAUGCUGCUACACAAAACAUCAUCUGCUGAGACAGUAGAAGAUGGUAACUUCUUGAGUUAAAAUAAUCGAAUUUUUCCCGACGUACCUUAACAUUUGUGAGAUCUACGUUGUGAUCAAUAAGGAACAACAUGAAUUCCUGAAAAUUUUCCUCUGUUGGGAGAUAAUGGCCACUAUGAGGCCAAACUGACUGUUAAACCAAAAGAGAAAAAAAGAGUGUUAGUAACUAUUAUAUUAAAGCCUAAUCUCAAAGAUAGACACAGGAUUCAAUCUACUAGGUAUACGAAAAUCGUUGAGAGAUUACUCUUUCCUACCUUAAGAAUUCCCUGUUCCACCACUAAUCUUCCAGCAGAGAGUGUGGCUCCACCUGCCAAGAAGCUUGAAUGUUGAAAUGUACCUUUGCUCUUCUGUCCAAUAUACAAGGUCUUGGAUGUGCUAAGCACAAAUAUCCACUUAGCAUCUCUGACUUCUGUUGUAUCAAGAAGAUUUCCACUCUGCUUGUAAAUGAACUUCCCAUCUUGCAUUACAACUUCAUAAGCCUCUCUUUCUAUCUGCAGAAAUGAAGCAACAGUUAUCGGUAGGUGCACCGGUUUUGUUUGAUCUAAAAUGUCUUGGGAAUUUGUUUCAUUCUUAAGGUUUAUGGUCAGAAGAUUGAAAUGCCAUGGUGAGAAGAGAUUCAAACUCCUUCACGAAAACAUAAAGAAAUGAGAAAUCAUAACGGAAGAUGAGACUCACAGGGCCAAGAUACUUGAUGCAUUGUGUUUGAAGCUUUGGCCGAGGACAUACUUCAUGGUUGACUUCUCUUCCAUCUCCUAUGUCAAGCCUGCAUUUUUAAGAGAAAAAAAAAAGAUUAUUAAAUAGGUGCUAAAACAUUCUUGGCUGUGAUCAAGGAGCAUUUCUAAUUGCUUUGCAUGAUGUCCCAGAUUAAACUUACCAAUAGAAGAAGGGCUGUGUACUCUCACAAUGGAGCCAUUUCGCAUAAUAAAAGUGAAGAUUAUGGCCAUAACGAUGUCGAGGAUCAAUCUGUUAAUAGGAAGGAACAAGAGUAAGAAUCCAUGAAGGAAAUUUUGUACAUUGAUUCUAAGGUAUGUUGCACUAUAAGGUAUAGAACUUACUGCCUCAAGCCAAUGCUGCAAAGCAAGUUUACGGGCCCUUUUGUCCUUAGACAAACCUUUUCCCACCUUCAAAAGAGAUGAUGCAGCAGCAGUUAGAGCCAUAAUAUAGCAGUACAGAAGUGCACAUCACGUAGUGUAAUACUAACUAACCUUGGCAGCUCUGGUUCUUGCCCUAGACCAGCGAGAAACAGCUGUCUCGGGUUUCUGAAUGUCAAAAAAUGAUAUUGAGCUCCGUUUGAGCUCAGCAAAAUCUAGUGCCCUCCACCUACAAAUUGAGUUCACCAAAAUAUAAGUCUAACUUCAGAAGGAUACAAAUAGGGAUAUGUGGACAGGACUAGUAGGCAUAAAACUUUUCCAUUUCCUUUCAUGCGUGACACCGAAAGCUCUUCAAAUUGAAAGAAGACAUGAAAGCAUACCAUCUUUGCUCAACAAGAAUUGCACAAUCUGCUAACUGUCUUCUCGUGCGGAAACUUUUAUAAACUUUCUGCAACUUCAAUGCAGCCUGGUAUCUGUGUUUUCCUGGCUCCUGGGUCUGGUUUUCUGUUGUCAGCAAAGGGUCUCCAGCAUCGCUUUCUGCUCUGGUAGACGCAAUGUUUUCCAUAUCUGCCGAACAUGUCUUCGUUAAGGGCUUGGUGUUUAACUCCAUCCCUUUAAAGCUAAGUGAUCCUUCAAUAUUCAUCUUUCCUGAACCAUUUGUGGUGGUUGGUUCAGAAUCAGGGCCGUUGGAGCUUAAUGACCGCAAGGGCUUCCUCUCUUCUUCUUUCCUAAGACUAACUGGACUUACAAGAACAGCUCCACAAUGACUAUCCAAAUCAUCAAAAUCAGAAAGUGGGCAGGAAACUGGAAACCCCAUUGACCAACAAGGGAUAUCUGUAAGAUUAUACUACUACUAACCAAGAUCUGAAUCGACGAGAUGAUCGAGAUCUAUUGGGUCUCUUUACCUGUAAAAAACUGAACAGAAUGUACAGAAUUAAACAUAAAAAGUUCAUCAAACUUGACAUCCAUGAAGGGCAAUAUAAUCAAACUUGGUACCAACAAACAUUGUUUCAACAUUCAUGAAUGGAGGUCUACCAUUGGAUAUAUAGGCACACAUCCAUUUCCUCCUCUUUCCUGUUUUUCUACUAGAAUCUAAAGCAUGGUUCCUCAAAAGCCAUUUUACAAUCCCAUGCAAAUUGCAGAGGAGGGUUUAUAUCCAACACUCUAAAUUGGGUGAUACAAAAUUUUGCAACUUGUAAAUUUGAAAAUAUUAAAAGUCUCAAAUGCAUUAAAUGCAAAUACUAACACACACACACAUCACCAAUUGCAACAUUCAACCAACAAAUUAAGUGAAUGACUCACAAGAAAGCCUUUUGAUACGUUUAUGAAUGAGGGGUGCACAAUGAGUCUUACCUUAAUCAGAGACAGAAUGGAAGCAGAGAUGGAGACUGGUUUAAGACAAGGCUGAGGAAAGAGAGAACCAAAGAAGGGUAGAGAGAGAAAGAUGGAGAGGAAGUAAAGAAAUGGACGAAUGAUGGGAGAGAGAGCGGAGAAUGUGGGAAGUUGAAGGGGUUUUAUUUUGUAGAGGUUUCAAAGGUUACAGAGUGGCUUUCAUGGGCUUGCUUCUCUCCUUCCACAGAGAGCUCUACUUUUUUUUCUCUGUCUCUGGCUUACAGAGCACCUACGUUGGCUUCAUGCUAUUCUUGCAACAUUUAUAUAUAGAAGUUAGAGAGAGAAUUCUAGAGAGAGAAUUUCUAUAUAGAGAGAAGAGGGGGGAAGAAAAAGAGUAACAGUUGGAUCAUAGUCUCCCCACACGUGUUAUUGACCACAAGAGAAAGUUCACCAACUUAUAAUAUAUAUUUUUCUUAAUGAAUCUCUAUUUUGAUCUUUUUAAUUCAUGUGAAUAUUGUAUUUAUGUCUAAAAUUACGUGAUUUUAAAUUUUUCUAUAAUUGGUUUAAUCAUAUUUGGUUUGAAGGAAAAUAAGCUUCAUUUUCUUUAAGUAAAAACGAAAAGGUGCAUGACAAGUUUUAUAAGAUACUAGUUUAAAUACCCCUUUUUUUUGGUUAAGUUUGAAUUUUUUUGUUAUUAGGACUAAAUUCUAUUAUGAUAUGAAUGAUCAUUACCAAAAACCUAUAAUGCAAGUUUAAUUUAUAGUUAAUGUAAUAAAUUGCUUGUGAUUUUAGGAGGAAUAUAUGCAUUUUCAAGCAAGCAAGUGAUUUGAUGUGUAAAGUUCUCAUGAUGACGAACACACUGUCGUUUGAAGGUUUAAUUGAUAAUUUAAUUACUUUUCUAAUUGCUUUUUUUUUUUGGUUGUUUCUUCAUCUAACUAAUCCAUGUUAGUUUAUCCCCUUUUUAAUUUUUAACUUGACAUUAGCCAUCCAAACCUUUUUCCAAUCUUUUCUUUUUCUCUUCUUUUUUUUUGGGUCAAGGAAUCUUUUCUUGUUCUCUUGUCACAAAAUUUGGGUGGGAAUGGGAUGGUUUCUAAAAACCCUAUUUAGUAUUGUAUGGCCACAGAUGCAUGGAAACUUCUUUGGUUAGAAAACAAUACAUUUCUCCUACCCAAUAUUCUCUUAAAUGAGUGUUAUUUGCAUCAUGCGAAAAAACUUAUGAAAAGUAUAGGGUUUCCCCUUUUUAUGGAAAAAUGUUAUGUUUUCAAAUGGUCGAAAAUGUCAUAUAUAUAAAAGACCACACAUUCAUACAUGAUUUUAGUUACAUUAACUAAUUAUAUUGAUUAAAUUAGCAAAAGAAGAUAUUCUUUCUUUUUACUAGAAUGAUAUUUUAAACUAUUUUUGACGUACGAAAAGGGAAGUUUAAACUCAGAUAUAAUUGGGUGAAUAUAUUGCCUUGAUCAAGUAAUCUAACCCGCAACAUUUGAAAAAGAAGAAAAAUCCACAUUCAACCCCCCCCACCCCCCCAGAUACUUGAAAGCAAUUAAUUUCCCACCAAAAAAUUAAGUUACAACAAAUACAUGUUUACCCUUUUGCCGGCCACCUUCUUAAAUGCAAGUGGGUCACCGCCACGGUAUAAUUGUAAGUACGGUCCUUGAAAGUAUUAUUAUUUUCCCUUCUCUUUUGCCGUACCACUUUUUUGUCCUUUUCUUCUUCUUCUUCUCAAAUUAGGUUUAUUGCAUCUACGUGCUCAAAUGUCAUGUUCAUAUUGUGCAAAAGAAUUUUAACACUUACAUUCGAUCAUUAAUUUAUAUAUGAGCAUGUUGUAUUAUCUAUGAGCAAAUUAAAUAAAUAAUAUCUUAUGUUUGAAUAUACAAAUUCAAAAGAUGAAUUUAUUUGCAAAAAUAAUUUUUUAAAACAACAUUUCAUAACGAUAGCGUGUUAAAUAUGUUUCGAGAACGAAAAUUGACCUCUCAUUGAAAAAAAAAAAACAUGUAAUUAUCGUAUUAAUACUUGUGAACUCAACACGACAAAUUUUGGACGAUGUGAAUUACAUCGUAUAUGAUUUUAUCAGGUCUAGUAAUUUUUGAGUGAUGUAAUAUUUGGACGAUGUGUUCACGAGUUGUGACAAGAAGUAGACUUCAUUGUGAUUCAAGAACGAGUACAGCUCAUGUACUGUCACAGUACGGCCUGUUAGAGUGGGAUUUGUUUGGAUUAGAUUCUAUGAGCAGCUGGAGAAUAUGGAGCUUUCCGCAAAAGUGCUUUUAAUUCUGACUCAUUCUAAUUACAGAGUCCGACAUGUAUUUUUUUGGGUCCAAGUCCAACGCGUUUGUUUUGUUUUUGUAAAGCACCGACACACUCACAACUCAACAGUCAAAUCACUCGCUCCUAUUUUAUUUAUAGUAGUUGAUGACCAGAUGAAAGAGAAGAAGAAAAAGGACUUUUGGAAAGUUUCAAAGGCAUGGGAGAUUUUGGACUUCGGAGAUUACUGGCUUAGGUAAAUUAGGUGUUUGGCGUGUGAGAAAAUUGAAAGAGAAAACUUGUACAUUGGUCAACUAGUCAGCAUCUGAGUGCAUCAUCAUACAUAUAUGAAGCUACGAUAAAAUCUCACAUGUUAUAAAGUAAGAAGUGAAGUUCACAUGAAUAAAGUAAGAGGAUAUUAGUUAAAAGAUGAAAUUAUGAUGUCGGGAGAAAAUGUUGAAGAUGCAUUCAUGGGAGGCCAUUCUAAUUGCCUAUAAAUAAGCUUCCUUUUAAGUUGUAAAAUACACAACCAAUUAGAAGAGAAGAGAGUCAGAGUCAGAGAAGAAAAGAGAGAAUAAGUUCUAUCUGAUAAGAAAUUCUGUUAGUGUAAACACCAUAAAGAGCAAAUAUAAUUUCACUCCCAAUAUGCUCCCAGUAUUUAGUGGUACUUCUCAUACUCUUUGAUUAUUCUAGUUCUAUAACAUCACAUGACUUUUCAAAAUUAUAAUAAUUGUUUUGUUACUUUGUGUACAAUGUCAUGUUAAAACGGAGGCUUUCUAAAGCAGAGAUGUCCUUAUUCUCCUUGAAAGAUGACCUAAAUAUAGAUGAUUUCGAUUGUUGAAAUAUAUUAUAGGCAACCCUAGAAAUGAUGUGUGCACUUUUCUUAUAAGGGCUUAACGUAGAAAAACUUCAUGUGUCCAACUAUUAUAUAUCAAGGUCAGGCUUUAAAAGAAUCGGCCAGUAUCAUAUUACAUAUCUACCACGUUGCUUACAUAGGAUAAGAAUUUGAUGCAAGAAAAACAUGUUACAUAUGGAUUCAUAUAACAUAUGCUAGUUCCUUAUGCCAAUAUUUACAGGCUGACAAGAUAUGAACUCUCUCUCUCUCUCUCUCUCUCUCUCUCAUCCAAGAUUCAGCAAAUACUGAGGGAGUUGCUAGAUGAAAGGAAAAAUGAUAUACUCAGCAUAGAAGAGAUUCCAUAUAAAUCUGUAGUAGCCGGCAAUUGCUUCCUGCAGAACGCAUUCAAACUUAUGAUCAGAUGAUGAAUCAAAUACUCUCUGUCAUUUUAUUGGAAUCUGAAUAGAUCAUCUCGAAGUAGUAGUGCCGAAUUGUCCUAUUCCAAACUGUACUGCUUGAUCAUUAGACCAGUAAAAUGCUAUUUACACAAAAUGGAAUUUUAUACCUUGGUGUAAUUUGCUUGCUCGAGCACCCAAGUCUGAAAGUACAUGAGAACAAAAUUUACAUAAGAGUUCAACAAUAAAGCACAAAUUUUCAUCAAGUGUUGUUUGUUCGUGUGUGCGAAAGAGCUCUAACAUAAACCAUUCACAUCCAAUUAAAUGCAGAUUAGAAAGCACGAAGCAGAACACGUUGCCAUUGUCACUUUAUUCUCCCAAGUCCUCACCACACACGCACACACACAAAAUAUACCAGAAUUCCUAAUACUGAAAAGAAUCAGCAUCAUAAAUGCCUAACUGAAAAAAUCAUUCAGUGAGAAGAAACUACAGAGAGGUGGGAUGCCAUUUUCGACAGUAAAUUUGUCUGAUAUCAUAAGCAUUUUAUUUACAUCCCCCCUCUCUUUUCUGUCAAUACUCUUGGAGCAUUGACAGAAAAGAGAGGGGGGAUGUAAAUAAAAAGACAUUCAUAAAAACAAGGAACAAACAAAAAAAGAAAAAGAAAAAGAAGCCGUUUAGAAUGGAUAUAGUGGUGAUGAGGUCAGAACAGCAAGAUACAAACCUGGAAAAUUAAACUCAGAGCCAAAAUUGUAUGGGUCGGUAUCAUUAAGCUACGCCUGAAUGCCUGUACACAAGCAACAUAAAGGCUUUAAUUUUUUGAGUCGACGGAAAACACGAAGAAUUUCACAAACACAAUAAAUCAAAGCCAUUAGCUUUUGUCCAAAAGCAUGAACCACGCAAGCAUCUAGAGAUACACUUCAAAGUUCAAAGGGAUACAUGCUCACCUGAGGCAUGAAACUUGCUGCGAAUAUAGAACCAACAUAGUUUAGCAGCAAAAGCCCAGAACCCAGGAAUGCAAUCUUUCUAACUCCAAGUUUUGUUGCAAAUGUUGAUAUCUGAAACCUGUAAGCAUAUAUUUGAAAUAAAUAUUGGUGGGCAACUGGAAUGUUAGGCUUUAAACAAAAACAAUGGUGCAUUCUGAUCUGAAAAUGUAGAGAAAAGAGUACCAAUAUUGGUUAAGCAUAAUCUAAGACAUUGACAAUUACAGUGAGUUACAUGGCAAAACGAUACCCACUCUGUGUCUAUGCAAGUAUGGGGUAGAGGGUGCGGAAAGUAUUAUAUGGGGUAAGAAUCAAAUGAGGAAUCAGCUGCCAGAAAGUAACUAGGCCCUGCAACUUACUUGCGGUCUCCCUCUACAUCAGGAAGAUCUUUUGUUAUGGCAAUAACCAAUGCAAAUAAUGUUACAAAGGUAGUGAUAAAAGCCACGGGCGAGCUGCAGGUAGAAUUUGAAUUUCAGCAUCAGUCUCUUUAAAAUUUUAAAUUAUGAACAUUACACAGCUAAAAUAUCAGAAGGAUAUAGUGACAUUCACAAGAGAAAGUUGGACAAUUAGAUCAAUCAAUACAGAUUUGUUUGCAUAAUAAAAUUGAAAAUUGAAAAUUAGUAAUGCUCAUGUGUUGGAUUUAGAAAAGGUCCCUUUUUGUUAACUUUCAAAAUCCAUAUUGGUGUGUAAACUACAGCAGUUCCUUAUCAAUCCUGUAUUAGUCCAUCCAAUUGUAUAGUCAUACCAGUUAAAAUACAACAAAUGGUAACACACCUCCACUCAAAUUGAAGCCCAAGGGCAGCUCUAGUGGCAUAAUAUACACCAAAAUUAAGAAGGAAACCCCGUACCUGCAGUAGUUAUUGGAGAAAAAUAAGGCAAAAUAAUUUUUAAAAUAUAUUUGUGAAUCAACAUAAUAGUCAUUGAACAGAUCCUAUCCUCUUCAUAAUAUAUUUACUUUCCAGGCUCCUUGCUCAAAAGUUGUUUGAAUUCAUGCCCAGAAAUUUUUAGACAACUAUAUUAGAUCAGUAGAACUACACUAUUGCAGCGAUUCAACUAUAAAGAGUGUUAUGCUACAAUAGCAUUUGGUGCUUCAGCCAUUAGGGUAAUAUUCAUAUUUGGAAAUUUUUGUUUUUUGUUUUUUGUUUCACAUUGCUUCUAAAAUAAACUACUCGCUUUCCUGUGACUCACAGGUCUGCUUCCGCCAACACUUUUCUACUCUCUUUUUUUCAUGGGUGUAAUUUGUGGAUGUUUAACUUUAUUUCUCUAGAACUUUCAGGCUUUUUUUACCAGAACUUGCUUAGAUUGUGAUGAUUAUAAAUGUAUUAACUAUUAUCUACUUUACUUUUUAUUUGGACAUUUUAAGGCAGGCGCAUGAAUUUCAAAUCCCAUGUACAAAAAAUAUCAAGCAAUUUGAGUAGUUACUGAUUUUAGAAUGGAGAAAAAAAAAAUUACAAAAAAUGAGCGCAUAUUUCUAUUGUGAGAAUUGGAUAACAGGAGAAAAAAGUGAUACCGUAGCAAUUAUAAGAAAUGCUGCAACAGGAAAUCUCUUCAUUCUAAACGGAGGAACAGAAUAUAUGGUACCAAGGAAAAGACCAAGACUGUAUAGAGAAGUAAUGAAUGGCCCAAAGUUCAUUCCGACAAUCAACAGGCCAGUCACUACAAAAAAUACCACCAGAAGCCAUGCUGAUUUAACUGAAAGGUCCCCUGCAGCAAUAGGUAAAUAAGGUUUGUUUACCCUGCAAACACAACAGAGAGAUGCAGAAUAAGUUCAAAGAAACUAAUAUGCAAUAAUGUCCUUGGACAGUCUGUCACACAAUGGAAACAAAGAAAAAACAGAAAAGAUGAUUUACCAAAGGUCAAGAUCGUCUGGCUCUAUAUUUUUCCUUUUAUCAAUGACUAAGGAACAGGUUCUAUCAAGAGUCUCUAGAUCAGAUGAUUGAUAUUAAUCAACUAUGUUAAGGCAUCAAUUACAUUCUGACAAGGGCCAACUUGUGAUGGAUCUUAAACAACAAAAAAUGCGUACAAACCCUAUUGUGGUUGUUGGAAACCAAUAUUUUGAGUUUAAGACUGUUGCGCAAAUCCUUGUCUAAUAGUAUGCUCAAGAAACAGAAAUUCGUAAAAAUAUACGCCCAUCGUACUUGUCAAUUUUGAUAUCGUAAAUCUGGUUGAUGCCAACUAUGUAACCAUUCCCACAUAGUAGAGCAAAAAGACCAGAGAAUGCCUUAAACAGCAGAGACCACUUUAUCAAAUUGGAGUUCUCAAUCAACGCUCUAGUCACCAAAGCACUGUGGACAAAACAACAAAGAAAUUUGGUCAACUACACCUGGCCUGAGUUGGAAAUGAAACCAGUUUACUAAUACAAAUCAAUGUUCUGUGUGGUAAUUACUUACGUAGAACCCAGAACUGUUCCACGUAUGGUAUGAGGCCUCAGGAAUCUCCAACAAGCAUCUUUAAAAUCUGAAAUUCUGGUCAAUACUGGAUCAGAUCCAGCAGCUUCAACUUGACUGCAGGCCUGGCAGCAUUCACUUUCACUUUAAUACCAUAAAAAGAAAGGGCUUGAGUCUCAUAGACUACAGUCUCCAAAAUCAAUAUGCAACCAUGUAUAUGGAACCGAAUCAAGUACUAACACAUGUAAAAUCAAAAUCAAAAUCAGUAACAAGGCAAAGGGAGUAUAAUCUAUAAACAGACACCAAAUUGCCUUUUUUUUUUCCUUUUCUAUUUGCAUGUUCCACAGUAAAGCAAAUAGGUACAACCAACUAUAUCAAGCUUCUAACUAGUUUUUUGCUGCUUUGACAUGUUCAAUAGUAGGAUUGCGUACUAUCAACCGCUUACCCUAUAUUAGUCCUUCAAACCUUGACAUAAUGUCGUAAUUGCAGCAUCACUUCAGAAUAAUAAUCAAGUAGAAACUUCCAGUUCCACAAGCUAACAAUAACAGCUAAAGGAAAAAAUUACAGAGACCAAAAUUCACUAAUUGGAGCAAAAUCAAACAUACCCAACUGGAAAAGAAAAAGGAAAAGAAAAAUAAAAACAAUCUUCUAACCAAAGUUUCAUAGUGGCAUUUCCUAAUGAACAGUGCUUAGAGAAGAACCCAAUUGGACCAACUAAAAGUUGAAUGUAAUUUAUAUCAUUGAGGAAGAAAUGCAGCAUACCCAGAUGGAAUUUCGCCUCUUCUGACAGUUGGGUAAGGACUUUGAGCUUCUGUAGAGCCCAAUUGAGUACAAGUUUUGUGUGCAUUUUGAGAGAGAAGCAAAGGGGGAUUUGGAAGUUGGCUUAACGAAAGUUGAAGGAAAAGAAGAGGAGGUCUUGCAAUGAGGGGUUAGAGCUGGAAACCGUGGAGAAGAUGAGGGAGCGAAUGAGAGCUCCAUGCUACGCUUACAACACAGACAGAGAGCGAGAAACAAGAGUCUGUCCGUGCCUCCGAGAAAGUAGAGAGGAUAUCACUUUGAAACUCAGACACACGAAAAGACGGAGGUAAAACGACAUGUCGUAGAUACUCCAAAAAGAAAAAGGAAAGCACGGAACCAAAAAAUAGGAAGUUAAACGAAAAAUGGAGAUGCGGGGUAUCGAACCCCGUACCUCUCGCAUGCAAAGCGAGCGCUCUACCAUGUGAGCUACAUCCCCAAGUUGCUAAUAAGUUUCAUAGUAUUCAAUUUACACAAUUUUCAAGGAAAUACAUUUGCUUACCUUUUUUUUUUUUCCUCCUAAUAAAUGGCAGAUUGUUUUUUUAUUUUUUAUUUUUAAUAGAGCAACAUUAGUACUUAGUUGGUCACUCAAGGAAAUGAUAGAGUUUUGAUGUCUUCUAUAUUGCAAAGACGGUCCUCACUCACCAACCAUUUUGCUCAAUAGUUUAAAAUUGAAGCGGCAUCCCUCUCAUUUUGUAGUACCCUUUUAACAAGAGAGGAAAUAGGAAAACCACACCCUCCUCCUUCCCGUUCAACACCCUUCACAUUACGACCCUCCGAAAGAGGGUACGGUGGUAAGACAACUGUGCCAUGGUAGCUUCCUCAAGGGGCAACAGCACUAGUAUUAACAUGGUAGGCAUUCCAAAAGAAAAAGGGUGUCACUGCCUAAAGUCCAUUUUAUUAUUUGUGGACAAGGAAAUCUUCAGGGUCGCCUUAGAGGAAACCAUAAUGCUAAAAUAACUCUAAAAAGCAACCGCAUGAAUGUCAAAGUAACAUUAAUCUAAAUAAAAUUCGAGUCAAGCACAACAUCCAACCACAUAAAACUUGAGGAUCAUCAACAUAAAAGGGCAGAGACAUCUCUCAUAUUCAAAGGGUAAAUCCGACAAUCACUAAAUAAUAAGUAAACAAACAAACGCAGACAAAAUUCUCCUUGUUGCCAACAUAGUUUUCUGCAGCCCCUCAACGGUUGGCCUUGGCAACUCUUUCAAUCUCAUCCUUCUUCUUGAUCGCAUAACUGCACACAAAAGAAACAAAGAAUCAAGGGAAGGAAAUUAAAUCAGACUACAUAACAAAAAUGGAAAUAAACUCGGACAUAAAAGAGCUUCGGCCGAGAAUAAUAAGUAAUAAGAAAAUAAGCGCUUAGAAAGCAAGCCAUCAAUCAGUACCUGUUAGAGGAACCUUUGGCAGCAUUAAUAAGUUCAUCAGCCAAACAUUCUGCAAUAGUUUUGAUGUUUCUAAAAGCAGACUCACGAGCACCAGUUGUGAGGAGAUAGAUAGCUUGAUUCACACGUCUCAAAGGUGAGAUAUCCACAGCCUGACGCCUAACAACUCCAGCAGAUCCAAUACGAGUUGCAUCUUCACGUGGACCACUGAUCAGCACAAAGCAGACAUACAAAAGAAAAAAAAAAUGUUUGAUCAAUUUAAGGAGAUAAAAAAAAUCAACAUAUAAUCGGGAGAAAUUAUACUAAAGGCCACUUGAGCUUCCCCUCCAAUAUAAAAAAAGGACUAAGCACAAGGCAAGUAUGUAAUUACUAUGAUAAAUAUAAUAACAAAUCUGCAUCCACUUACCUAUUAACAACAGCAUCAACAAUAACUUGAAUGGGGUUCUGAUCAGUCAGCAAAUGGAUAAUUUCCAUAGCAUGCCUAAUAAUCCUGACAGCCAUGAGUUUCUUUCCAUUGUUUCUGCCGUGCAUCAUGAGUGAGUUAGUAAGCCUCUCCACAAUAGGGCACUGAGCCUUCCUGAAUCGUUUGACUGAGUAUCUCCCAGCAGUGUGAGGCACAUAGGUUGCAUGCUUGGCAGGUACCACUCCAACAUAGUCUGCCAAUGAAAUGUCACUGACCUAUACGUUGCAAAUUACAUAUUACCAUUAGUAGAUGCAAUGAACAAAUUAAUACAACAAACUAAUCUAUAUGUUUGAAAAUGUCAAACGAUUAUUACCAAAUAAUUGAUAAUAAAAGAUUUAGUCAGCAUCUAAAAAAAACUAAAAACAAUUUGACACGUAAAUACCAAUUAAUCAAUAUACUUAAUAGACAGGAAAAGAUUUGACCCACAUAUGAAUUUAACUGAAGCAGACAUAAACUUUCAUUUUAUUGAUAUAAAUUGAAAAAAGGCGUUAAUAAAAUCAGCACAUUCAGGAGGAGCACCAAAUACAUGUGACCAAAACAAGUGCAAUAAACAAUAAUAAUAACAAUAAACUUUAGCCUACUAAGUUACACCUACAGUGAAUCUAAGAAACACAAGAUGUCCACACAAAGAGGCCACAGAGAUGUCUAAAUUACAAAAGCAAGUCCCAAUUACACAUCUUGAGGUUGAGCUACAUAUACAUUAUGAUACUUACAACCCAACAAGUAAAUGCAAGGACGCCUAUCCUUGGCUGCUAACCAACCAGCUAAACGUAUGUUUACCAAACUCAACCUUAGUUUGUCUAAUUCAUAACAGAUAUCGAAAGUAUAAUUAAAUCAAGUAAAGCAAAACAAACUCCAGAUACCUGAACAUCAUCAAAGCUCCAGCGGUUGAACAGCUUCACGUCAAAGUGAGGCUCCGUUGGUUCCACAACAGAAGCAACUACGACAGGAGCAGCUGCGACAGGAGCAUCUACGGCAGGAGCAGCCAUGGUUCUGUAUAAACACAAUUAAAGAAACAAAACCUGUUCACAUUUGUUAACAACAGCGGGGACUAGAAUCAGUGCUGCAAAUUAAUUUUUCAAUUACGAGAAUUCCAUAUCAAAGUGAAUCGAGUAAUGUAUAACUAAAAAAUGAGAUUAGGGAAAACAUUGAAUCAAGCUUUUUUUUCAAAAUAAAAAAUUAAUAUAAAAAAAAAAGGAAGAAGCAAAAGGGAAACCUCAAAAUUUUGUGAUUCUUAGUUUCAUAGCUCAAUUCACAAACCCAACAAAAAUUUCAAGCCAAAUUCUUGUUUCUUUUAAUACUUUUAGCUUUAUCUAGGUGCAGCAAAAUCAGUAUGUAAGAAGCAUAAAAAAUAAUAAUAAGCCAUCAAUAACAAAAUACAAACAACUGUAUGGCUCUCUUCCAUUCAAAACAAUAAACCCACCCCAAAACCCUAGCACAAUCUUAAUUACUCGAGGAAGUGGCAGAGAUGGGUGAGAGAGGUAACCACUGACCUGGAGGUCGGAGUUUCAGAAGCUUGGAGAAGAAAGAGAAAAUGGCGCCUGGAGUGGGUUAUGAAACGCUCAAUACAAGAGAACGGCGCAGGGCAGAGGGCGAAAGAGGGGAAAAAGUCUUUAAUCAGCUAGGGUUUGGUUUUUAGGUUACGUUUACUAUUUUACCCUUCCUCAUUUUGUUUUUAUUUUUGUUUUGUUAAAAAAUCAUAUCCUCUGUUUUUUACUUUAAUUUAUUUUUUCAAAUAUGAUCAUAGAAGCUGCCCGGCUAUGCUUUUUUUGACACGUGGGUCUCUUUUGUUUUGUAACUAAAUAGUAUAGUCGCGAGGCUAUAUUCUCAGGUAUUUUUCAAAAUCGUAGAGCCGGACUGCUAUACUCGGGUUUUUAUUUUUUUAAAAAUAGUAUAGCAGGGCGGCUUUACUGCAAUAAUUUUUAUAAAAAAUAUUAUAGCCGCGCGGCUAUACUUGUGCUGACAGGUGCACACCUAAUCUCUAAGCGGGUCCCUUUUUUUAAUAAAUAAUAUUGCCGUGCGGCUAUACUCAACUUUUUUAUAAAUUUUUUUUUAAAAUACUAUAGUGGGCCAGUUGUACUAUAGUUUUUUUAGAAAUAGUCGUCGGGCGGGCAUACUCUUUUUUUAAAAUUAAAAAAAAUGACGUAGAGGUUGUUGAGUUUUCAGAUUUUUUAUUUAUAUUUUGUUAUUUAUUUGUAAACCGAACUUAAUAACUUUUUUAUUAUUUUUUUAACGGUAGUUUGACGUAGUGGACAACAUUGACUAACGGAAUAAAACACAAGGGCUCAAUUUGCCAAAUUGAACACACGGGAACUAAAUUGGUCAAAUGAGUAUAACACAAUGACUAUUUUAAUGUUUAAGCCUUUUUUUUUUUAAUACUAUAGCCAGGCGGCUAUACUCUGGUUUUUAAUCUAUAAAAAAAGAGUAUAGCCACGGGGCUAUAAGUGUUUUCUAGGCAGGUCCUUUUUAAAAAAAAAUAGUAUAGCUGCGCGACUAUAAGUUUUUCGACAUCUGGGGCUGUUUUGUUUUAACUAAAUAGUAUAGCCGCGCGAGUGUACCACGAUAAUUUUUUUUAUUUUUAAAGAUAGUAUAGGCACGUGGCUAUACCAGUUUUGACACGUGGGUAACUAAUCCUAGGUGGGUCCACCUUUUUUCUAUAAUAGUAUACCCGCUUGGCUAUACUCUGGUUUUUGUAUUUUUUUAAAAAUUGAAACUAGCCAAAAUAUAAACUAAUGCAACUAAAAGGGUACUUUUUUAAAAAAUUUCUUUAAAGAAAACGUAUAGCCGCGCGGCUAUACCUUUAAAGAUAAUAUAUUUUAAUGCUACGGUAUUUGUUUUAUAAAAAAAGAAUAUCAUCGUGCGGCUAUACUGUUUUCGACAUGUGUGUCCCCCUUUUUUUUUUAAUAGUAAAUAGUAUAGCCGUGCGGCUAUACUCUCGGUUAUUUUUCAAAAUAGUACAGUCAGGCGGCGAUACUAAGGUUUUUUUAAUUUGCUUAAAAAUAGUAUGACAUAAAAGUUUAUUGUGUGGCCAACAGGGCAAUGUAAAAGGGUCUUGACUUGCAUACUCGAGAUCUCAUGUUCGAACGUAUGUGAGAAAUUCGCCUCCCCUGUAGUUUAAACUAUCGCUUUUACUAAAAAAAAAUAUUGUGUGAGAAUAAUUAUGGUUUUUAAACCAUUUUACGGUUUAGAUCAAUCGGUUUAUCUAGGCCAUGGCAAGUGUCGCAUUGAUAGAAGUUUUUUCUUUCUCGAAAAUUCUUAGAUGGAUUUGGGCAAUAAGUUGCUCAAUUGUUUUUUUUUUUUUUUUUGUUGCCAAAGUGGGGAGUGGGAAAAACUGACACACAUAAGGAUUUAAACGCAAGACCACUUAAGAGCACACCAAAGACAUGGGCCAAUCCAACUAACACCCCCAUUCGUCAGCUCACUUCAGACGAUAUGGGUUUCCUUAACUGUGAAUAUGAUCGUGAUACUUGUGAGUUUCACAUUGUGCAAGGAAAAUUUUGUGCACUUUCAUAAGGUAAAAUGUCAAUUGGAGGAGAGCAAAAGGAGCAACACGAAUUUUAGAAAUAUUUGUAGCUACUGUUCUUCCAUUCAUAUUUUUUCUAAUUCUCGAUAUUGUCUUGGUCACAUCCUUGAAAUUAAACAAAAAAUAUGAGAAAAACAAACAUCGGCCAUUUUUCAUGAAACAAAACAGAACUAGCUAAAAAUCUUGAAAAAUAGGAACUCGCACAUUGAGAUCAUUUGGAGCUUCCUUUGAACAGCAAAUGACAAGAUACUCGUAGGUUUCGGCAGCCCCUCAACGGUUGGCCUUGGCAACUCUUUCAAUCUCAUCCUUCUUCUUUAUAGCGUAACUGAGCACAAACAGAACAACCAAUAGUCAGAAAAGUAUCAAGUUGAAGAAAACGAAAUUAGACUAAACUAAACAUAACAAAACAGAAAUAAACAAUGAGAUAGAUGAGCUUUCAGAGAAAAUAAACAUAAAGAAAGCAAUGUAUCAGUACCUAUUAGAUGAACCUUUUGCAGCAUUAAUCAGUUCGUCGGCCAAACAUUCUGCAAUAGUUUUGAUGUUUCUAAAAGCAGAUUCACGAGCACCAGUUGUAAGGAGAUAGAUAGCCUGAUUCACGCGUCUCAAAGGUGAAAUAUCCACAGCCUGACGCCUAACAACUCCAGCAGAUCCAAUACGAGUUGCAUCUUCUCGUGGACCACUGAUGGUCACAAAGAAGACAUACAAUUGGAAUCAGUAUUUCCAUAAGGGUCACCAUCCAAUGUGGUUAGAGUACCCAGAAGACUUCCAAAGUCAGAAAGUAAUCAGGAUCAAUUUUAUUAAAAGACCACUUGAGGUUCCCCUCCAGCAUCAAUACCUUCUACAGACCCUAAGCACAGGGCAAGUAUGCAAUUACUAUGAGGAAUAUAAUAACAAAUUUGCAUCCACUUACCUAUUAACAACAGCGUCAACAAUAAUUUGAAUGGGAUUCUGAUCAGUCAGCAAAUGGAUAAUUUCCAUUGCAUGCCUAAUGAUCCUUACAGCCAUAAGUUUCUUCCCAUUGUUCCUGCCAUGCAUCAUGAGUGAGUUUGUAAGCCUCUCCACUAUAGGGCACUGGGCUUUCCUGAAUCGUUUGACUGAGUACCUCCCGGCAGUGUGAGGUACAUAAGUUGCAUGCUUGGCUGGGACAACUCCAACAUAGUCCGCCAGUGAAAUGUCACUGACCUAUAUGUUACAAAUAACAUGAUUAUCAUUUUAAAUAUACAAGGGAAAUAGAUUUCAGUAUUUGUCUAACACAUGAAAAUUAUCUAAACGUCCAUAAAACUUUACCAAAAUAAAUUAUUUUUAAAAAACACGAAAAAACUUAAAAUCAGUGUAAAGAUGAAGCCAAGGGCACCAAACAAUAAGAAAAUCAACUGUUAGCAUUAGCCUACUAAGUUACACCUACUGUGAAUCAAAUCAACACAAGGACACACAGGAUGCACUUAUUACAAAUCUAAAACCUAACAAAAGCCAGUCCCAAUUACCGACAUUUAGCAACACAUACGCUAUGUUUUCUUCCGACUACCCAACAGGGGAAACAUGCAUCUAGACACAGUAUUUAAGAGCUCAAAGUACAGCUACAUUAAACCUGAACAUCAUCGAAGCUCCAGCGGUUGAACAGCUUCACGUCAAGGUGAGGCUCAAUUGGUACCGUUUGUACCGUUGGUGCCGUUGGUGCCGUUGGUUCCACUGCAACAGACAUGGCUCUGCAUAACGCAAUCGAAGAUCUAAGGUUAAGAGUGUUAAAUUGAAAAAGAGGUUGGUUGUGAUUUUAAAUUCUUUGUUCAAUUAAAAUACUCACUGAAAAUUCAAGUAUAAAAUGUGAAAGGAAUUUCAUUGUAAGUAACAACGACGAAUGAUAAAGCUUACCUCUUCGUCGGAGGUUGGACCUUCAGACGAGAAUGCGAGAGAGCUUGUACAGAGUGGUGCUGAACACAGGAAAACCCUAGUUCAUGUUUAUAAGCACGACUGACCUGAAAAUUACCUUAAGGUCCUUUAAGGGUAGUAGGGUCUUUUCGUUUUUAUUUUAUUUUUAUAGAUUACAAUGUUUGAGAUUCAUCAAACUUCAAAUUAAUCUCUCUCUGGUUUUUAUUGCUAGAUUAAGCCUUGUGCAUUGCCGUCUCUUCAAUCUCAAUAUGAAUGGAUUAGUCAAGCCAUUUUUGCCUUACUUGUUGGCUAUAUAUGCACAAGCUGGAUGGUAAGCAUGUAAGGCUCGCAGAUUAUUUUCAUGUGGAGGGACGAGCACAUGUGGCUUUUAAAAUUUCGACCUCUUGUUUGUUCAUAUAAUUGCUUUUCACUUGCUUCUGAGUCAUGACUUCCGCCAUAUCCUUGAACCAUAAGAUGUUUUUCCUCUUUCAAAAAAUAUUAAAGCCUAAAGCUAUCAUGAUUUUCACUUCUAGCAUCCAGCAGAUAAAGUCGGGAAUAUAGGAGCAUCUACAUGAUUUCUCAACGAUUUAUUAAAAAUUUCAACUUUGAAGCAGCAGCAAACUAUUGAGACAAAUUUGAUACUCAAUACCUCAGAGCUCAGGGUAGAAGGAAAUCAAAGAUUUGACACAGAAACCAGGAAUAUUUGUUACUUGUUCAAACAAAACCUAGGGCUUUUUUCCGACAUAGAAGUUUAGCAAGAUUCGAUAAAGAACUCACAUCAGAACAAUCAAGUCUACGUUGCUAGUAAAUACCAAGACACAUAAACUAAAAAAAAUACGAAC